rnacentral:lncRNA from 1 species
UUUAUUUCGUUGCUCAAGAUGGUGCAACCGUUGUUGUCAGGGUUGCAGUGACCGGCAAGGUUGAGGACCGGAGUUUGACCGCCGCCGAAGGAUGAGAGAAAUGCUAUGUUGACGAACUCGUAGUUUCCAGUAGCGCAGGUGGAUGCAAGAGAGCCUUCGUUGCCGUUUUGGCCCCAAUAGAUGGCGAUUCCAGCCGCGUCGGAUGAGUGGAAAAUAGAGGAGAGGAGGAAGAAGAUGGAAAGGGUUGUAGUUAUUUUGUGGGCAGCCAUUGCUUAAAGAGCUUUCUUUGAGUUCGUGUAUCUAAACAAUAGAAAAUGUGAAGUGAAUUUAUAGGGAAGGGAAAUGAAUCACGAAGGGUUAUUGUUGAUCAAAUCAAAGUAGAUCAUAUAAUAUAAUUUUGUAAGUGUCAUUUGGAUUUGGAAAAAAUGUUACAAAUUAUUUAAAUGAAUGGUAAUGUUCUAAAUGAAAAAAAAAAAAAAGGUUAAUUGAUUCUACUUAUGAUAGUCUAUUUAGAAGUAUAUAUAUAUAUAUUGUAGAAUAUGAAAUUUAAUUAUAUUUUGUAAAAUUUGUAACCUAAUUUUUUUUUUCUUUUGCCAAAUCCAACUUAUUUUAAUCCGGCCAAUAUGACAACAACCAAUUUAAUUAUGAUUAAGAACAAAUUAAAAUAAAUAUGAUUAUAAUUAAUUAAGAUUUGAAUAUCUUAAACAAAAAAAAGCAUGCCAAAGAUAUUUUCAUUAUUGUAUUUGAUAUUUGUGUAAAUAUUAUUCCUUGGAUUUAAAUUAACAUUGUCUGUCAUCGUUAUUGUUAUAUUAUAAUAGAAAGAAAAGAGCUCUUAAUUACAUCAUUUCCGAUGUAUAUCAACCUCAAAAAAUAAAAAAUUAAUAAAAAAAAUGCAAGAUUGAAAUUGCAAGCUAAGUAAUAUCUCUUUUCCGAAAAUGGAUCUUAUGCAAUCUUUUAUAAUCUUUCUCCAAAUUUUCUAUUCAUAAUUCAACUUAAGUACACCAACACAUUUUACAUCCAUACACUAAAAAAAUCCUCUAUGUAAUCUUCAAUUCUAGAUCCAUACAUUAAAAUAUCCUCUAUGUAAUCUUCAGUUUCUCCCAAAUUUGAAGUAAUUAAUUUAUAAGAUAAAUAUUUUUAUAUUAGUUUAUACAAUUAUCUUGAUUUUCUUUUUUACGUAAAAAAAAUUAUCCAUGCUUUGGGUUUAUGGGUCAAUCGAUCUCAAUUCAAAAAGAGCAAAUAAAAACAUUAUAACAAAUCGUCAAUGGAUCUCAAGAUCAAUAAUAAACAAUUCAACAUUGAUAAAAAAUAUAUAUUAUCCCAAGUUGUACUGAAAAUGACAUACAAUAAUGUUUAGCACAUCACCUUAUUCCUCUACAAUCAUGUGAUUCUCCCUAAAGUACUUUUGUUAAUUACAUCAUCUAAAUUUCUAUACAUUAUCAUUAUCUCCUUAUCGAAUGUUGCCGUGGCUAAAUUUUUUUGGUAUAGAGAGACAAUAAGCUUGUACACUGGCUACCCUGUUUUGCAUGUCGAGCAGGUCCUUGAUGAGGCAGAUAGGUUAUUGAAUGAAAUUCCUCGUGAGGAAGAGAGCAUAUCUAUUUUCUGCCAUUAAAACAGGUUUGUUUGAUUUCGUUUGGGUUCAAUAUCCUACAACAAUCCGCCAUGUAUGUAUGCAAAUGGAAACGUCAACAAUCUCCUGAAUUAUUCUUGGAACUUGGUGGACGGGGUUUCCGGUUGAGAAGCUGUACAUGGGGCGACGGGCGGCAUCUGCAGCUUCACCGAGCGGUGGUUUUACUCCGGCCAACGUGCUUAAGUCUCAGGUUCUUCCAACUUUUCAUGGAAAAUACAUAUGAACAUAAAUAAAUAUGAAAUAUAUACAAAUCAUAUGAUUGUUGCAUCUACAAAGUUGCUCCUUAGUAAACAACAUGACAUGUAGCACAAUGCAUGUGCUAUCUUGAGAACCAUAAUGAAUAUAGUGACAAUCUACCUCAAAUUUACUUUGUACGUUCAUGGAAAUGGAGUUUAAGUAUAUGAUAACCAUUCGAGAAAUCUCAAAACAUCCUUCGUUGCACCCUUUAACUAAAAAGUAAAUAUAGAAAUUAAUAAACUAAAUACGAGAUUUUACAUUUGCACAAUAAAUAAAUACAUCUCAUAUUUUCAUAUUCUGUAUAUUAACUUUGAUAGAUAAUAAUUUAACUAUCUAUCCACAUAUGUAUAAAUCAUAAAGAUUCAAGCAUCAAUUUCUAUAAAUACACAACAAAACAUUUUUUUUUAAAAAAAAAAAUCACAUGUUAAUAUUAAUAUGACUACAAAUACAAAUGAUAAUAAGAUGAAUAAUUUAGCUAGUUGGAAAAUAAAACCAAUUUAAAGAUUGAAUUAAACAAGUUUUUUUAUUACUUCUUUUCUUUCGAUUCUUUAGGAAUUAAACAAGUUCGAUUAUCUUAGAAUUAGGAAAAUAGUUGACUGUCAAUAUAUUUGUAAACUUAAAACAAUCACAGUAACGUCUACGUCAAUGAUUUGAUUAAUUAAUCUUCAACUCCAUUUAUUUUGAUAAUUUCAUCUCUUUCAACAGUAACCGAUAACAUAAAUUGUUAGAUUUAAUAUCAAAUUUAACUUCAUCUAUUAAAGCUUAAGAUUGAAUUAGUGAUUAUAUCAAACUUAUUGUAUGUACUAUUGUUUUUAAUUAGAAAAAAAUUUCACCCAAGUAAGAAAUAAAAUUGAUAUAUAAUUAACUAGAAAGAAGACAGAGGAUCGAUUUAAAAAUUUGGCUAAAAUAUCAAAUUCUUACGUUAAUGAGAUUAUAUUGUAUUUAAACUUCAAACAGUUUACACAAAAUUUAAAUAAACUUGGAAUGUUUUUAUUGACAUCAACUUUUCAAUUCUAAAACAUUGGUAGUAUAGUAAUGAAAAAAAGGAUAUUAAUUAUUGCAUCACACUAAUUUAAUAUGAGACUAAAUGGAGAAGAUGAAGUCUCACUUUUUAAUUAUUAUAAUACUUUGGAGUUUAUUCAUAGCUUUAAUUAAAAUUAAACUUAGGAGCUUCCUUCAGCCGAUGCUGCCUUUAAUGGAAUCGCUGUAGCCAUUGUCAAACGCCUUACUCCAUAACAUCACUCCUCCAUAGUUGGAAGAAGCUUUAAUGGUUGGAAGAACUUGAGAAAUAAGCACAUCCGCCGGAAUAAAUCCCCCGCUCGGCGCUGCCUCCCGUGCCGCUGGCAAUCCCAUGUAAAGCUUCGAUGUCGGAAACGCCGUCCACUGAUUCCAUGAACUCAGGAGAUUGUCCGCGUUAUCUGCAAACAUGCAUGGCGGGUUGUUGUAGAAUUGAACCCAAACGGAAUCGAACAGUCCAGUUUUGAUCGCGGCGUCUAGCUGAGCGUCUGGUAUUGGACACUGCGGCGCGGCAGAUAAAAUGACUUGUCCAAAAUUCUUUAGCUCCUGAGCUAGUACGUCCCAGAACUGGCCCGAGCCAGACUCGAUAUCGAAAUCAACGCCAUCCAAAACCGCAGCGCCAAGUGGCCUGGAAUCCGACUGCCCGCCAAGGUAGCUGUUCCAAAUGAAGUUUGCGACUUGUUUCGCAUCGUCGGCGGAGGAGAGUGAAUAACUCCCCGCGCCACCACCGAUAGAGAGGAGGACCUUGACAUUUUGACUUUUGCAAGAGUUUAUUUCGUCGCUCAAAAAAGCGCAACCGUUGUUGUCAGGGUUGCAGUGACCAGCAAGGUUGAGAACUGGAGCUUGACCGCUGCCAAAGGAUGAGAGAAAUGCUAUGUUGACGAACUCGUAGUUUCCAGUUGCGCAGGUGGAUGCAAGAGAGCCCUCGUUGCCGUUUUGACCCCAAUAGAUGGCGAUUCCAGCCGCGUCGGAAGAGCGGAAAAUAGAGGAAAGGAGGAAGAAGAUGGAAAGGGUUGUAGUUAUUUUGUGGGCAGCCAUUGCUUAAAGAGCUUUCUUUGAGUUUGUGUGUCUAAACAAUGGAAAAUGUGAAGUGAAUUUAUAGGGAAGGGAAAAGGCAAUCACGAAGGGUUAUUGUUGAUCAAAUCAAAGUAUAAGAUCAUAUAAUAUAAUUUUGGAAGUGUCAUUUGGAUUUGGAAAAAAUGUUACAAAUUAUUUAAUCAAUUGCCGUGUUCUAAUUGAAGAGAGAAAAAAAGUGGUUGAUUAAUUUGAAUUUCCAUGGAAAUACGAUUACGUGGAGUCAAGGUCAAAGUAAACAUAUCUCUACAAAUUAUAUAUAAGUACUAGACUUUUGUGAUUAUAAUUAAGUUUAUUAUAAGCUAUGUGAUUAAAAUAUUGUUAAAUUAUAAGUUUAUUCUCUAAUAUUUUUUUUAAAAAAAUUGUAGUUAUGUUCAACAAAUUAAAUUUGUAUAUGUUAUUAGUAGGGCGGCCUUUGAACUAUUGUUAAACAUGUGCUUAAUAAGUCCAUAAAUCUCUAAUAUGUCAUAUGGUUGGAUUAUUAGCAUAUUUAAAAUGUUAACUAAUGUUUAUAAGUAAAAUUGAGGUUUAGGUAUAUGGAAGGACCUCUGGACUUAAUUUCAAUUUUGUUGUUGUUGUUUUUUCUUUUGUGGGUUUGUGAAAUUUUAAUAAUUGAUGCAUGUUAUUAUUAUAAUUGUGUUGUUGAACGUGAACGUUUCUCUUUUUGAUAAUGUGUGAUAGGAAAACCAAACGUUAAUUUUGAAGUUGAUAAAACAAUAAUUGAGUUAUGAUUUGUUAAGUCUAAUACAAUAAUUUAUUAAAUAUAAAAUUGAAAGUUUAGGAUUAUGAAACAAAACUAAAAUGGAAGAACUAGAUGGCUGGACUCGAAUAUAAUUUUUUUUUUGUACUAAAAUUGCAAUUUAACCUAGAGAUCACACUUUAACUCCAAUUAGUUUAAGGUAUAACAAUGAAAUUUAUUUAUUUUAAAAGUUCAACGUUAAAAUUUUUUGCAAGUAUUUGAACCUCUGUGACCUUCUAAACAGUAAGCAUGGUACAUGAUCAACUUAUUUUACUUGUUUAACUAAGUUCAAGUUAGCCGAAAAAGUGUAUAGCUAUGUUACGUAUAGAGUUUAUAUGACUAUACAUAUCGUCUCUUGAAUUUGAUUUAAGAUCAUAUGUACUGUUCAAUUAAUCUUUAUUUUCACAUUUGUGUCAAACACAUUUUGUUUUUUAUGUAAUGUUGGGAGAUUUAACUAGCUAGAAUAACAUUGGUGUGUUUUGUGGAUAAUUGUCAACCGGUCAAGGGGUGCACUGGAGAUAGUACAACCGCCAACGACGUAAUGUAAGGGUUGGACGAUAUAUCACUACCGUCGACAACGUAUUUACACCAUUUGCAAUUUUUCUAACAACUGAUGACCUUGCUUUGUUGUCCGGAGAUCAAGUCCCGACGAGUUUCUUCCAACUGAACUCCCAACAAGUUUUUAUCCACUGCUUUUAGGUAUUUAUCGACUGUUUUGUGCAGCGAGAGAAACCUAUUUUUUGUAGCAAUAGUUAUGCAUUACGUACAUAUGUAAAAGAGUACAUUAAAAAAGUCCAAAAUUCAAUUAAAUUAGCCGUGAAAUCUAGAAAUAUCUAUUGACUACAUAUAGUUAAAGUGAGUCUAAGUCAUCAUAAUUAAUGGAAUUUGUUUGAUUAUAGUUAGACAUUUCAAACUCCAAAUUCUAUCCAAAACAAAUUAUUCCACACGUUAACAUUGUAGCUGCGUAUAUAUGUGGAAAAGUUUACAAACAGUACUAAUUUUAUUUUUUCUUCAACAAACCUGCAUUUUAGGGUACUCAUUAAUUUAUAUACUUAUUUUUAGAGAGAAUCUUAUAACUUCUACUAUGCAUUAGAUAAAUUGAAGGAUAUUUUAUAAUAAGUUUUUUAAGACUUCAAAUAGUUAAACUUAUGAUUUUAUUACGGUUCAAGAUAUUAAACUUCGAUCCACAAGUUGAUUUAUAAGAAGAUAAAGAAAUGGUUGUUGCCUCUACCACACCUUUGUAAAGAUAUAUCUACAAAGUUGCUCCUUACUAUUUUACAAGUCUAACUACAAAUUCAAUUAUCUAGUCUACUAUAUUUUCUUUUCUUUUGCCAAGUACCCAAAGGUUGAUAUGGCCGUCUACGUUUCCCUUCUUGAAUACAACAAUAUCAAGGGUAUGAUUAUUUUCUUUUAUAUAUUCAAGCUCUAUUUUGAUUGGACUUGACCAAAUCUUUAAUUAAUUAACUCUUGAACUUUUUGGAAACUAUGUCUUGGAUUCGUUCACUGUAGAGUUGAAUGGGCAAUUCUGUUUGUCUCUAUUUGUUUUCUAGAGUUAGAGAUGGUUUUAUUGAUGUAGUAGUGGUUUGGAGACGGUUUCAGAGUAAAAGAUAGUUCCGGUAAACUCCUUGAGCAUUCUUCCGUGUAAGGAUAGAGUAAUAUUGUUGUUUGAUUAGAAAUUUGCUUCUAAUAAUUUUGACAACUUGAGAUUAAUUAGGACGGAGUAUACUGAUGGGCUCUGGUUAUAAUUGAUUUCAAACCAAUACCUGCUCUAUUUCAAGUGAGAGAGGCAGGUGUGUAGCCAUUGUCAAACGCCUUACUCCAUAACAAUAGCUACUCUUUUUCAAUAGGAUCCUGCCUUUAAUGGCAUCGCUGUAGCCAUUGUCAAACGCCUUACUCCAUAACAUCACUCCUCCAUAGUUGGAAGAAGUUUUAAUGGUUGGAAGAACUUGAGAAAUAAGAACAUCCGCCGGAAUAAAUCCCCCGCUCGGCGCUGCCUCCGGUGCCGCUGGCAAUCCCAUGUAAAGCUUCGAUAUCGGAUACGCCGCCCACUGAUUCCAUGAACUCAGGAGGUUGUCCGCGUUAUCUGCAUACAUGCAUGGCGGGUUGUUGUAGAAUUGAACCCAGACGGAAUCGAACAGUCCAGUUCUGAUCGCGGCGUCUAGCUGAGCGUCUGGGAACGGACACUGUGGCGCGGCAGAUAAAAUGACUUGUCCAAAACUCUUUAGCUCCCGAGCUAGUACAUCCCAGAACUGGCCCGAGCCAAACCCGAUAACAAAAUCAACGCCAUCCAAAACCGCAUCGCCGAGUGGCCUGGAAUCCGACUGCCCGCCGAGGUAGUUGUUCCAGAGGAAGCCUGCGACUUGUUUCGCAUUGUUGGCGGAGGAGAGUGAAUAUCUCCCUACGCCGCCUCCAAUAGAGAGGAGAACCUUGACAUUUUGACUUUGGCAAGAGUUUAUUUCGUCGCUCACAAAGGCGCAACCGUUGUUGUCAGGGUUGCAGUGACCGGCAAGGUUGAGGACCGGAGUUUGACCGCUGCCGAAGGAUGAGAGAAAUGCUAUGUUGACGAACUCGUAGUUUCCAGUGGCGCAGGUGGAUGCAAGAGAGCCUUCGUUGCCGUUUUGGCCCCAAUAGAUGGCGAUUCCAGCCGCGUUGGAAGAGCGGAAAAUAGAGGAGAGGAGGAAGAAGAUGGAGAGGGUUGUAGUUAUUAUUUUGUGGGCAGCCAUUUCUUAAAGAGCUUUUUCCUUUGAGAUUAUGUGUUUAAACAGUGGAAAAUAUGAAGUGAAUUUAUUGGGAAGGGAAAAGGUAAUCACGUAGGGUUAUUGUUGAUCAAAUCAAAGUAUUUGUAGAGUGUCAUUUGGGUUUGGAAAAAAAUGUUACAAAUUAUGUAAUGAAUUGGCUUGUUCGAUCAUUCUAAUUGAAGAGAGAAAAAAAUGGUUGAUUUGAAAUUUUCAUGGAGAAUACGAUUAUGAUUAUGUGGUGUUAAGUACGAGAGUUUUGUGAUAGUUAUAAGUUUAUUCUCCGAUAUUUUUUUAAAAAAUUUGUAGUUUUGUUAUUCAACAGAUUAAAUUUUGUUUAGUAGUGCCUUGGAUUGUUAAAAGUUUGAAGAUUAUGACACAAAACUAAAGGUGAAAGAACCAAAUGAACUAUACUUUAAUAUGAAUAUUUUUGUACUAAAUUUGUAAUUUAAUCCCAGCACAAUCAACCAUCUUUGCUUAUAACUUAUUAGGUACUCAAAAAAUUCCUACCCAUCCUUUGAAGAUUAUGAGAAACUCUUUAAACUCUCAAUUAGUUUGACGAUUAGAAAAUUUGUAAGAAUUUCAACCUCUAUAACCCUCUAAUAACAAUUAGUCUGCUUAUCACUACUGCAGACAAUAUAUUUAAACCAUCAACAUUUUCUCUAACAGCCGACGACCUCGUCCUGUUGUUGGAAGAUCAACUCCCGACGAGUUUCUGCUGACAGAAUUUUUGUCUACUGACAGAGAUGAAUAUGCCGACGUGCUUUUAGGCGAGCAAAGCCUGUUGUUUUGCAGCGAUAGUUUAUGUUACAUUACUUACGUAAAAGAGUGUAUUAAAAAGGUUGUGUGAACAAAAGAAAAUACCUAUUGACUAUAUAGUUAAGGUGAGUCCUAAGUUACCGUAAUUAACGGAAUUUGUUUGGUUAAAAGUUAGACAUUUCAAACUCCAACUUCUAUCAAAAACAAAUUAUUCCACACGUUCACAUUAUAUCAUUGUCACAAAUAGCUGUAUAUAUAUGUGGAAAAGUUUACAAACACACAGUACAGUAAUUUUGUUUUUUCUUCAACAAAUCUGCAUUUUAGGUUACUCAUUAACUUAUACUUAUUUUGUAGAGAUAAUCUUAUGACUUGAUCGAACUUUCUGAAAGAAAAUUAUAAAAAAAAUUUACUAUGCAUGAGUUAAUUUGAAGGAUAUUUUAUAAUAACUUUUCAAUUUCAUAUAGUUAAAUUUAUGAUUAAUGUGGACUAUCAAUAGUUUCUCCUUUUUUUUUUGAGUGAUUUUAAUUAUUUUGAAAUUGCAAGAUUAUAUUUAAUUGUAUUUAGCUUAGGAUUUUAAGUAUUUAAUUGUGUGAGAAAAAUUAUUUUAAACACGUUAAAGUGUGAGGUAACUAAUAGAGAAAUAAUUUAUAAGAAAAAUGAGUUUGUCAUGAAAUACGUUGAUAAGAGAUAAUCAUUUCAAGAAAUUCACUUAAAAUACAAAGCACGAUUUUUGAUUGCUUGAUGUUAACCUAAUUUAUAUAAUUAUUUAAGUUUACUAAAAUGGUUUGAGUGAUGGCUACCAACACCCAUCGUUUUAGGUCACAUCUUUGGUAAACCCAUACUUUAGGUGAAACCUUUGUGCCCAAUCAACUCUAAACAAUCGACGACCACCUCAAGGACCAACUUUUGUCCACUCAUUACUUAUGUGUAAUGUGUGAAUACCUCGAUCACCCAAUCACCUAUAAGGACCAACUCUAGACAUAACAUCUAUAAUCGAUCUAUUUCUAGAUACCAUUAUAUUAUUUUUAAUUAUUAAUUAGUCGAUCGUAAGUAUUAUUUAUAGCUGUUAUGUAAGUAAUUUGACAUUAAUUAAUACACGUGUUUGGUAUACAAGCAAACAUAAGUACUAACUUUUUUUUAAAAUAGGAAGAAUGUUAUUCCUUGUGAAUCCAACCAUGUCUAUAAACGUUAGUUUGUGACUAAAUUAAGUGAUUUAAUAAUAAUAGUUUGAGUUAUGUACGGUUUAUUGAUUGGUGUUGGUGUUCAUAGUUUUAAAUUUAAUUUAAUUAUGAUGAGAUGAUCAUUUCCAUACACAUAUUAUUAAAUUUGUAUAGUUGAAUGAUUUAUUUGUUGAGGGAUUGAUGUAAUAAUAUAAAAUAGAAAGAGAAAUAGUCAAGGAAUCUAUAAUAAUUUGAAGAGUUGAAUAUAUAAUAAUGAUCUUCACAUCGAAUUUCUCGCAACAUGUAAUGGCCAACUACGAUUUUGUUAUGUGCUUAACUAAUUUCCUCCUCCACUUGCAAUAUUUAGCCUCAAAAAUAAAAAGCUUAUAAUAGUGACAAAAUAUGCUUCAUAAAUAUAUAUAUACACCACAGCAUGUAACGUGAGAUAUCGAACCUCAACUCUAAAGUCUACAAUAUAAGUUUAUGUAAGCUGAGCAAUUUUAAUCCUAUUUUGAUUUUUUUAUUUUGAUAUCUAUACUUGUAAUGUAUUCAUUUUAAUUAUUUAAAUUUUAAAAUACAAUGUUCGUUUUAGUUUUGUAAUUGUAAAAAGAGAAUUCGAGUUUAGUUUUGUUGGUCCAUUCGUAUUUCUAGUAGAAUACAUUCACUCACUAAUUUUAACCCCAACACAAUUGUUUUUGAUUAAUUUUGGACACAUCCUAAAGUAAGAUUAAUUAAUUAAAGCAUGACCAACAACCAAUUUAUGAUUGAAAACCAAAAUAAUAUAUGGUUAUAAUUAAGGUUGAAUAUCUUUAAAAAAUAAACAUGCCAUAAACAUUUUCAUUUAUUAUAUUUGAUACUUAAUGUGUAAAUAUUAUUCCUUGGAUUUAAACUUCUCUGUCAUCCACAUUAUAUUAGAAGAAGAAAUCUUUGAGGAUAUAAUUUAUAGACUUAAUUCAUUAUUCCUCAUGUAUUUUUAAAGUUCCGAAUAUACCUUCCAUUAUAUAUUUGACUUUUUAUAUAUAUUUCUUUUAUUUCCUAAGUAUAUUUUUUUUGAACUAUUAUAUAUUACCUCUUUUACCUUUUUCAUUUUCAACGUGAAUUUAACUCAACAAUAAUUGACAUAAUCUUCGAUCUUAAAGAUGAAAAUUUUGUAUCUUCCAUCAUCACUGACUUGUCACUGUUUUGACCUAAUUGAACUAUCGUGUACUUAACAACCAAAUUGACCGUGAUCACCUUAGUUUUCCUUUUGCACUAGAUGACCUUCCUAAAAUCAAAAAUAGCUAAGAAGAAAUAGUCUCUAGAUACUUGUAUGUUUUAGUCGCUAUAUAUAAGAGUUAAUCUCACAUCCUUUUCGACAUAGAUCAACUUCAAAUUUUGAAUAAUUAAAAAAAUGAAAUAUUUAAGAUUAGUCGAAUCUUAUAUAAUCUUUUUUAUAAUCUUCUCCAAAUUUAAUUCCUAUUCAUAAACUCAUCUUAGUUCACCAACACAUUCUAAAUUCAUAUAUUACGUGACUCUAGAUUUUCAAAACCUUAAGUUUCUCGACUUUAUAAAAAAAAAAACCCUCUAUCUAAAGAUCUUCAAUUUCUAAAAAAAUUGUAGUUAUACAUAAGAUAAAUUAAAUAAUUUAAGCUUGUAGAUAAAUAGAGAAAUACAAUCCAAUUAAUAUACACAAUAAUUAUCUUGAUUUUCUUUGUAGUCAAGACUACACCAACUCCAAGUAAAAAAAAAAAAAUAGAUAGUUUGGAUUUAUGGGUUAAUCUCAAUAAUUGAAAAAGAAUCAUCAAUUGAUGCUAAUAGUAUGAAAAACCAUUUAGAACUAUUUCGAAAAAAGAUUUUUUUUUAAAACUUGAAAUAUGUAUCUUUGGGAUCUUCUCAUGUUUGUCCAACUAAAAUACAAAAGAUACACAAAUAUAAUAAACAAACUCACAUCUCAAGAUGAAUAAUAAACAAUUCAACAUUAAUAAGAAACAUAUCAUCUCAAAAAAUGUACUUUAUAGCUACAUGCAUCCAACAAAUGGGGGAAGAGAAAAUGAUACACAAUAAUAUUUUGUGUGUAUAUAUAUAUAUGCAUGUUUUGGGUUUCAAGUUUUAACACAGAAAGGAAAAAUGAAGUGGAUUCUUUUCACAAUUGUUUCUCUCUUCAUUUCCUUUCUUGUGAAGCUAUUUGUUUUCCCUUCUAGACAUGGCCCUUACAAGCUCCCACCAGGCCCUUUCUCACUCCCUAUUCUCACUUAUAACUUCCUAUGGCUCCGCCAGUCCCCUCUUGAUCUUGAGUCUAUGUUACGUACAUUCAUCAAUAAAUACGGCCCCAUCCUCACCGUUCACGUCGGCCCUUCUCCUGCCAUCAUCAUCUCCGACCGCUCCAUCGCCCACAAGGCUCUCAUUCAAAAUGGUGCCAUUUUCGCCGACCGCCCCCGGACCCUCUCCAUCACCAGGAUUACUACUUCUGCCAAAUUUGAUAACAUCACUUCUGCUCCUUACGGCCCCAUUUGGCGCCUUCUCCGCCGCAACCUCGCGAUGGAGAUGUUCCACCCUUCGCGUGUCAGGGCUUAUUCUCGGGCUCGCAAGUGGGUUUUGGAUAUCCUUGUCGCUCGCCUUUCAGCUCAACCGGGAUCCGAAGGUGGCGCGGUUGUUGUUGAGCAUUUUCAGUAUUCUAUGUUUUGUUUGUUGGUUUUGAUGUGUUUUGGAGAUAAGUUGAAUGAGACACAAAUCUUGGAAAUUCAACAAGUGCAGCGUGAUAUUCUUGUGAAUCUUCAACGAUUUAUUUUUCUUAAUUUAUGGCCUAAGUUGAUGAAGGUUUUGCUUAGAAAUCGCUGGAAGGAAUAUUUACAAAUCAAGAAUAGACAACGAAAGGUCAACUCUCCUUUAACUUCAAUUCAAGAUGGAACUUUUAUGUUAUCUAUUACCGAAAAACGAACUUAAAUUGAUAUUGAUCAUUUUUGCCUUAAACAGGUUUUAGUCCCAUUUAUCAAGGCACGAGAGAAGAUCAAAGAAGAAAGAGCAAAAAAGGAAGGGGAAGAAAAUGAAGAAUUUGUUGUAUCGUAUGUUGAUACGCUACUCGAUUUACAACUCAUCGACGAGAAAAGAAAGCUUAACAACGAAGAAAUAGUGAAUUUAUGUUCGGAGUUUCUCAACGCUGGGACGGACACUACCGCCACGUCAUUGCAAUGGAUCAUGGCGAACUUAGUGAAGUACCCAAAAAUUCAAGAAAAACUAUUCCAAGAGAUCAAAGGAGUAAAGGAGUCUGCUAGUACCAAAAAAGAUGGAUUACGGUAUAUUUAUUAUUAAUCUUCGAAUAUCAAUAUUUACGACUGAUCAUUAGAAGAAUAAUCUCUCCAAAUGUGAAUUAAUUUGAUCUCUAAUCCUUUUAUAUAUAUUUAUGUAUGAUUGAUUAUAGGGAGGAGGAGGAGGUGAAGGAAGAGGAUCUAGGGAAACUUCCAUAUUUGAAAGCUGUGAUUCUAGAAGGAUUGAGAAGGCAUCCACCAGGGCAUUUCAUGGUACCACAUGCAGUGAAAGAAGAUACAACUUUGGAGAAUUAUUUCAUACCAAAGAAUGGCAUCGUGAGUUUCUUUGCAGUGGGAAUGGGGUUGGAUCCACAAGUAUGGGAAGAUCCGAUGGCGUUUAAGCCGGAGCGGUUCAUGAGUGACGAUGGCGGCAAGGCGGAGUACUCGACGACGUUUGAUAUCACAGGAAACAAGGAGAUUAAGAUGAUGCCAUUUGGAGCAGGGAGGAGGAUGUGUCCAGGGACUUCUUUGGCAAUUCUUCAUUUGGAAUAUUUUGUAGCAAAUUUGGUUUGGAGAUUUGAGUGGAAAGCUGUGGAAGGAGAAGAGGUUGAUUUAUCAGAGAAAAUGGAAUUUACCAUUGUUAUGAAGAAGCCUCUCAGAGCCCAUAUUAAUGAAAGGUUUUAGGACAUAAACAUAAAUAUAUAUUGAAGAAAUUGUUACCUUGGGUUUUGCAUAAUAGGUAGGAUAUUCUUUUUCAAAUCCAACAAAGUGUAGGAUGAGAAAUUUGAACAUUCCCCUUUAGAAAGAAAAAAGGAUGCAUGGGUAUGGUAUAGUUAAGUUAUUUCUCUAUGUAACUUAUUUAUUACCCUUACUGUAUUUGUAUUAUUAUAUAUAUAUUUGACAAAUAAAUAAGUAGAUUAUUGAAUAUAAUUUUAAGGCAAAAUAUCAAUCAUACCCUUCAAAUAAUUUGAAAGUUGUAUUAAUCAAAAUCAUAACCUAAUAAUAAUAAUGUAAUAUCCUUUCAAUUAAAAAUACAAUUUUUAAAGAUAAUUAAGUAAUAGGUUAAUUUCUUAUAAAUAUAACGAAUAUACAUUUUUGCCUUCCUUUUCAUCUUCUUCCUUCCUCAAUUUCUUAUCAAUUAUUCUAUUUUUAUUUAUUUUUUACUACAAUCAAUUUUUAAUUUUUAGAUUUUAAAAGAAAAAAAUGCAUGUAAUAAUCUAUUGUUUUUAGAACAGAUCUAUAAAUUUAUUUUAUUUAGAAUUUAUUUUGGCUUAGUCGAAAGUCUAACCAAUCCUGUUAUGCCACCUGGGUGGGGUGCAGCAUAAUUUCGUGCACCUAAACAAAGGCAAUCUCAUUGCGCGGGAAAAUUCACAAGGUCGAUUUGGCGCGAAAGAAACCCUAAAACUUGGCGUUAUCACUUUCCCCAUCAAGCUCGAACCUCUGAUAUUUCCAUUGGAUCCAAUUGCCUUAUUCAUUGCAAAGCUCUUAUGCUUGAAAUCCCUAUUCAGUGAACUGUUCCUUGAGAGAUGGAGAUAGAUGGGCUAUGUGUUAUUUGCGCUGGCAUUGGAAUCGUCGAGGAGGAUGACUACGGCAAUCGGAUCGGUUACUCCAAAAACGAGUUCUGUUUAGGUAUGUCAAUUCACAUAUCUAAUUUGUUCCAUCUGUUUCUGAAGGUAUUACGAGGGGAUGAAGAUUUAGUUUCCCCAAAUUGGAAAAUUACACGGCUGGUUGUUGAUUUAAUGUUAUUGUCAUUGUUAUUCAGAUAAUUUGAAGGAUUUGCUUAGGUUCCUGAGGAGAGAUGACCCGCAGACUCGCGAUGUUUUUAAGCACGUUUGUAAAUGGAACAUUGUGGGUAAAGAUUUGAUUCCCAUCAUUGAGUACUGUCAAGAUGAUCGUAAUGCAGUUUUAAAUGCAGGUAGUGAUUUUGUUUUGAAGUGAUUAUUUUGCCAAUUAUCUGGCGGAGAAGUUUCAUUUUUUUUUUUGUUUUGUUUUGUUUUUGUUUGAUCCUUCAGUGAAGAUUUUGGUGUUCCUCACAAUGCCUAUCGAACCCACGUCAAGUGACAUUGCACAACAGAUCGAGUAUCUAUGGGGAUUGAAGUCUUUAAUCACAUGCAGUAAUGUUGUUGCCAUAAUUGUUUCACUUCUGGAGAGUCCGCUGGAAAAUCUGGAUUGGUGAGCGGGGCUUUAAAUUCUCGGUGUUUGAUUACAUCUUGUUUGUUAUUAUGCCUUUAAUCAGAGUCGUGGCGAAUUUUGACCAUAACUUUUAUUGUUUCUUUACUUUGUUCUGUUUGACCAUUGCAUCCCUUUGAUUGAGCUAUGAAUUGUCUUCUACAAACAGCGGAACAUUCUCAGAAGAUGACUGGAAAUUGUUGCAGUUGGUUAUAACACUCUUCCGAAAUGUUUUGGCUAUUCAAGAAAUCUCAUUGCAGCAAAAGGCUGAUGGAUCAGCUUGUCAGUUAAUAUUGCUGAGAGACAAAUUUUUGGAAGUUUUAUUCCGGGAGAAUGUUAUGGACAUAAUAUUGGUGAUGACGCAGCACAUUGAUGGGUCUUGCAGCCAUCUCCGUCAAGACAAAUUAGUCUUUUUGGAAAUAUUUUACUACAUAUUUAUGGGCCAAGAGCCUGAGUUAAUCGCGAAAGUGCCUCAAAACAGCAGUGAGGUCAAUUUACUUCUCUUCAUCUCUUCUUAUCCAAAAUAAUGAUAACAACAACAAUUACAACAAAAAUCAAAAAGAAAAGAAAAAAAGAAAAAGAUCAUGUCUGCGAGAAGAAAUUGCAGCAAGCUAGUCUAGAAAGUAAAACUAGACUUUGCAGUAAGAUAAAGCUACCUCUUACCUGUAUGCUAAUAGAUCAAUCAAGUUAAAUUAGUCUAAUUAUUAUGAUUUCCAUGUAAAAAGUGAAAUAUAGGUAAUAACCGACAUUUUAACAUUUAUGGUUUAUACAUCAUCUUUCACCCUGUUGUUUAACUCCCGUACUCUGUUGUUCUAACUAGAAUUUUCGUUAAAUCUCAGGAAAAUGUAGAAACGGUAUCUUCUGUCAAUAGUCUGAAAUCUAUGAUGGAGGAAGAUAGAAGAAAGUUUUCUAGAUUACAAAAUUUGAACCGACAUUCGCAGUUUAGUGGAACUUUUACUCGGCAAACCUUGGUACAAAGCGUUCUUUCUGCUAAUGCUCGGUUAUCAAAACUUUUAUCUUAGGUCCUGACUAAUUAUGGAGUUUUUUCCUGGUAGGAUGGUUCAAAGUUAGUACUCAAAGGAAAACCAUCUUUGAGUUCUUCUACCAGCCAUAAGCCACCUAAAGUUUGUCGAGGUCCAAUUAAAAAAAUUGCAUGGGACCUUGGACGAUUAACAUCGAAAAACAGCAAACUUCUGCAGUUACUUCAUGAUUUUAUUAAUCAGUUUCUUUCAGGCGGCUACAAUGGUAUGUCUCAAGAAUUUCUGUUACUUUCUUCUUUAAGUUAUCUUGUUGACAUACGUUUCGCCAAGAUGCAAAAUCCUAAUUACUCCAAUUGUUUUCAGCGCUGAUGCAGUUGGUGCAUGAAGAUAUUGAAAAGGAACAUCAUUCCAUCCAGAACAACGAUGUGGUGGUUUUUUUUCAGGUUGCACAGUUUGCUAUUUCUUUUCAGUAUCACAAGUUUUCAACUUCAAAGGUGAGAAUCAAAUUUAAAAUAUUUGCAAUCACAUAUUUAAUUGUUUUGGAUGCCUAUGGAUAGUCUAUGUUCAAUAUAUUUCAUAUUCAUUUUUGUAGUUCAUCAAUUUUCUUUUACCUGUUUUACAUUCUCAGUGUUAUAUUUUUAAUUUACGACAAUUUUUUCAUUGGUGAAUAAAAGCUAGAUAUACUAUACUUUGUUUUUAUUUUCCGUUCUUCAUACAGAAAAAGUCACUUGUGAAGGUUUACCUGUAUCCCAGCCUUAGCACUAUUAUCUAUUUCCACUUUUUAAUAACACUUGCACUGCUUUUAAUAAUUUUAUGUAAUUCUUUCUUCCUAAUCCUACUUGAUUUAUUCUUCUUAGGGGUUGGUGUUUAUAACUACAUUUCAACUUAAUUAGUCUUGGACGAGCUUCUCAAUGCCUUUUGUUUUUCUUGGGUACAGAUAAUUGAAGCUGAGACUGAUGAGGCUCAAACAGAACAUGCUGAUUCCACAUUUUUCCAAGGUAACAUGUGCGGUCCAAUAGCAGCAACAAUGAACGAGGCAAUGUUUCAGUUAGUUGUUUCCAAAUGGCGUUAUGCAUUUGAAGGCUUAAAGGAAACUAAUGACUUUAAGUUUCUGUCUGCUGCUGGCUCUCUGAUGAAAAAUAUGGUGAUUGCUUCCUGGCACUAUUCUAUUAGUUUAUUUUUCUGUUUCACUAUUCGUGAACAGUUAAGAAGUUAAUGCCAGUUUGAUCUAUUUGUGAUUCUAUCUUUGUUUCCAAUAUUUUCUUACUAAUGCGUAAGCAUAACGAGAAAUGCUGAAAAAAAAGAGUGAUACAUGUAAUUUUUCAACUAUACAAGUCCACUUAAUUUGAACACUCACAGAUAUAAAAACAAUUGAAGCAAACAUAAAUUUUGGAAUCAGGAUGUCAUUUCACAUGAGCAUAAUAAAGUGUUUCUCCUUGUACAGAUUUGCAUGCUAGAUUUGGUGCUAAAAUUAUUGCCAGAAGAUUCAAAGGAACCUCAAACAGCUCGUAUUCUACUUUACAAACUAUUUUACGAUCAGACAGAUCAAGGGAUGACUCAAUUCCUUUUAAAUUUGCUCAAGUCAUUCAACACUCACAAACAACCCAAAAGGUAUUUUCCUUGACAUGGGUCCUAGAUGUUGUUUUCAGUUCUAUGCUUGUGCGAUUGCAUUCUUACAUUCUUUCAGUUUUGAGUCAUGUUGAAAGGAAUUUGCUUAUAGCAAAUGCAAAAUAUUUCUCUGGGAAGUCCAAUGUAUGAUCUCAACUGUAGACAUGGCAAUGAGCUUUAUCUUUACUUUAUCUACAAAAUGUCUCCAUGGAAGGAUAUUGGACGAAGAUCUGUUCUUUGCUUUUAAUGAUUUUGCUAAAGAAGAUCUGAACAUAAGCUUGGAAAAAUCGAUAUGGUUCUAUGGCUAAAUGGGAUGACAGAGAUUAUAUAGAAUUUAUGUUUGGAAAGUAUCUUAGAUUAUUCGUGAUAGAAGCCAGAUUUUGUGAAGAAGUUUUGAUUUAGCCAAAUUUUAUUGUCUCUUGGUAUUCACUUAUCAUCUUUUUGUUAGUACACAUGCUUUGAAAUUAAUUUAAAGUAGGGAGUUCCCCGGUCAGUGAUCUUUUUGGAUAGUAGUUGGACGUGUUUUCUAUUUUUUAUUUACGGUAAGUAUUUAUUGAUCACCUUUCCAUUCAUAUUUAUGACUAAUGGAGUUCCCCGGUCAGUGAUCUUGCAGAUUUAGUUGAGAUGGUCUACAAGGUUGUACAGCUUAUGGAGAACCUCCAAGCACGUGGAACACUUCGGGUAAUACUCUAUGUUUCUUAAAUUGUUGGAGAACCUCGAACUUGGUUUGGUUUCUUUUACAGUAUUUUUAAAUCCGUUUUCAUCAUUUUGGCUCUCCUGGUGUCAGCAAUGACAAAUCUUCUCUGAUGUCCUGUUAUUUAAAUUAGCCUCAUCUCAAUGAAAAAAUGUCCUGCUCUUUUCUCUCAAGGCAUACUGCCAAUGCAUGUACAUGUUUGGGUAAUCGGUCAUAUGCAUACUUCUGGUAAUUAUUGUUUAACAAUGAUUUAUAUAAUGCCAUUGAGUAAGCGUUCUUCAAUUCAAGCAAUAAGUCAUCGGAGUUUGGUAUUCACUCAUGAGCUUUUUGUGAUACAAAGUUGCCAAUAAAGUAGGUUAAUAGUAAAAAAAAAAGUUUACUUUACUGUGGUAUUGGUGAGACCAUCUUCGUGUUUUUGGCAGUCAUGUUGUAAUGUUAAAUACUAUGAUUGUUAUGGCAUAGGCACUUUUUUCUUUUUUUUUAUUAAAUAUUAAUUGCCAAAACUUCGACGGCCUAAGCUUGAUUCACAAAAUUUAUUGGUCUCUUCCUUGGCGUUUUUGUCUUUGUAUCUACUCAGUCAAAUUCCUAGAUGUAAACUUAUUCAUUUGUGCUCUUGCUAAAGGAAAUUCUUGUAUUAAGGUUUCCAAAAAAUCAAGGAGGGGAAGAAAGGCAAAGUCAGCAAAUAAUGGGGACAAUAAACAGUCAGAAGAUCAGGGAGCUGAGAAUAAGACGGCCAUAACCCAUAAUGAGCAAUCAACAGAUGUUGAUGUUUGUGAAAAUAGUAACUUAAAAACGAGUCCUGAUUGUAAAGAAGAGAUAUCUGUUACUGCUAAUGCUGACGAACCUGAACUGUUAGACUUAAACUCGGGAAGUUUUGAAGGCAGUAUGCCACAGAGAGAGAACAAAAAUUUGAAUGAUGGUUACAGCACAGCCGACUCUUCUAGUGAUGAACAGAAAAAUAGAAUUGUGGAGGUUGAUCUUAAAGUGUCAAGUCUAGUAUCUACUUUUGCCAAUAACAACAUUAUUCAGAAGAUAUGCUGGUUGCUUAAGUUUUACAAGAGCAAUGCUACUAGUACAAACCAUUACAUAAUAUGUAUUUUACGGAAGAUCACUGAGGAAUUAGAGCUUUCUCCAAUGCUGUACCAGGUUAAGAUUUGAUUUAUUGCUUCUGUCUAACCACUAUUUACAAGAUUUUAUGCAUACAUACAUAAUCUCAUUUUUAUUUUGCAGUUAUCCGUCCUUCCCACGUUUUAUGAUAUUCUAUCUGAACAGAAGUCAAGUCCAUGCAAGGAGCAUGCUACUAUAGUUGAUUUCCUGACGAGUCUGGUGAGAAAGAUGCUACGAAAGAUAAAGAAUCAGCCACUCCUUUUUGUUGAAAUCCUGUUUUGGAAGACCCGAAAAGAAUGCCAUUAUAUUGAUGCUGAGUACUUAGUGCAUGAGCUUGGCUGCUGGAAGAAAGAAAGUAGGGAGGAAAAUUUUACCGGUGGUGAUGAAAAUGGCUCGUUGACAGGCAAGCAUUGGACUCCCAGAAGCAUAGCAGAUGCACUUGGUGAAGAUGAAGCUGAUGUUGUGCUCACCAAUAACGGGUUUGGAUUUCAUAGGUAAGACUUGGAUCUUAAUGAAAACAUUUUAUCUACUUCCUUUCUAACGAUCUUUCUCUGGAAUAAAAGUGAUGACAAGGCGAAAUAAUGUAGAAUUGAUACCAUCAGUAUAAAGAUUGAAAAUUUGUGAUAUUUUCAGUUUACUAGAGUUUUCACAAGUUAUUAAUUAUGGAAAAAAUUUAUUGAAUGGUUAUACUGCAAAAGAAUCCUAUGAUAAUAAAUGUCUUAUUGAAUGCUUGUUUCUUUACUAAAAAAUGUUAUGUGAUGGAAAAGAUCACCUUUUUUCAAACUUGACAGUGAAGCAAAGUCCGACGAAGUCAAGAAAGGCCUUGAGUCUACCAACUUGGAUGAUGAGAUGGACAGAAAAGAACACAAUGAAAAGUACGUUCUUCUUCUUCUUCUAUUUUUUUUUAUUUGCCUCUCAUAUUUUCUGGUGAUUAAUUGCAGUGAGCUGUCUAUGGACAAUAAGCCCAAAAGGCUUCCUAAAAGAAAGAGACUUGUUCUUGAUGCGGCACUGGAGACGGAAAUUAAAGAUCUUUAUGAGAAGUAAGCAUUGAUUUCACUCGUUUUCUUAUUGUGCAGUGUUAUUUAAUACCUUCGCCCUUUGAUAUUUAUUGACCAGUGACCCUGGUAUUGUUUGCACAUUGCACAAUUGUUUUGGAUUAUCCCAUUGCAAAAAUUACGUAUCGCUUCACAUGGAAGUGAAUUGUUACUUUAAACAUUAUUUUUUAAAAACGUGUCAGAUUCAAGGAGGACAGGAACUGUAGCAAACUUAUUGCGGAGAAUCUUGAUAAUGAUGUCAAAGUUUCGCCUGCCCAGGUUUCCAAUAAGCUUAGACAGAUGGGUUUGAAAGUUGUACAAAGAAAGAAGAGGCAGUAUGCUGAUGAAGGCUUUUCUGCUAUUUCUGAAAACCUUGAAGGAGAAAGCAAUGGGGAAGAACUACGUAACUCAAAUGUUUUCGGGAAAAGUUCAUUGAAUCAACCUUCGUACGUAUUUGACCUUCCCUUCCUUUGCUAGCAUAAUUGCAUGUGCUCAAGAAUUUUUAUACCAUUUCAUCAGAACAUUGUGUGCUCUAAUUUAUUUCUGCCUCUUGACAUUUCGGAAAAAGAUUUUCUGUACAAUUUUAAACUUUAGGUUUUAUAUGCACCACUGGUCGGUUUUCCUUAAUAUUAUUUUUUCAUGGCACAGGCUCACUAGAAAAAGAAUUCUUGCUUUUGAUAAAGAACACGAAGAGAAGAUUAGAGCUUUAUAUGAGCAGUAAGUUGCUACAAUUUCAGUCUAAUGUUUUUGAGUUUUCAUAUAUCCUUAACUAAUGUGCUUGUUCUAACAGGUUUAAAGACCAUAAGAGAUGUAGUUCUAUGAUUGCAAAUGCGCUGGAUGCUGAUAACAAAUUCACUCCUGCCCAAAUUUCCCGAAAACUCAAGCAGUUGGGUUUGUAUAUUUCUCGUAAGAGAAAGUCAAGUGAUGGGGAUCGUAAUGAAUCUGCUAUUGAUAAGGAAUCUGAAAGUGAUGAUGAAACAUUGCUCUCAUUAAUAAAUAGGUGAAUAUACACGCAUACUUGACCACCUACUUUUCAGAUGUUCUCAUAUCUUGAAUGAUAAUCCAAUAUAGGUUGUAACAUGUCCUUAGUCGGGAGUCAAAACGUUUCUACUAGUUAAAUAACUUCUAAUAGAACGUUAGAGAGAAAUUUAGGCAUUAUUUCACAAUAGUGACAUCACCAUCACCAUCACCAUCUCUCAUCAUUUUUUUAAAAAAUCUCUCUUUUCGUUUUCAUUAUUAUGGUUUCCUAGCCAUAACAUUAUUUAGGAUGUCUACUCAUUUUUGAAGCUCAUAUAUAUGAUAAUACUUGUAAAAUUGAAAUUAUCAACUCACAUGACUCUUCUCCAGUGUACUUUCAAUUUAUCCAUUACAUAUUUUGAGUAUAGAAAAAAAGGGAAGCAUCUUCCAAAGUCAACUGAAACGCCCAGUUCCAUCUCAACACAGAGCAUAUUAAUUGAUGAGGAAUCUGAAGGUGUAGCUGAUGGAAGGUCCAUGCAAUUGUAAGAUUUCUUAUACAAAACAGUAUUUUCCUAUAUCUAGCAACCAUAUAACCAUUUUCACUAUUACCAGAUCCUAAGAGUCCGAGCAUGCUAAGUUGGUACUUUUUUGUUUAUCCUUGUGGUGCUUUCGUGCAUCUUCCUUUUUUAAUAGGUCUCUGAGGAAAAGACCUUGUAAAUUCUUUCACUCCGUUCAUACCAUUAAUUAAUAUGAACAUCGCUAACACAAACGUUCUCUUUUCAGGGAGGAUAGAAACCAAGCCAGUAGCUUGGAAACUAUGGGGGUUGGUGGACCGCCUUCAGAUGAUGUUGACUUGAAUGACUUUACGGAAAAUCAAGGGAAGGAUGCUGAAGCUGGCCGUGUCAAUAUGGAUGAUUUGAUGCAAAAGGCCAUGGAAGAUGAGUUUGCAGAUUCAGACAAUGAAGUGUCUCCCAGUGUGUAUCGUACAACGGGAAGAAAGUUUAGGAUAGUUGAUCUUGAGGAUGAAGAAUGAGAUGGGAAUGGCCAGGUUUGUUUCUUCAAAGGGAAAUUAUAUAUCAUAUACUCAUCCUCUUUUAGUUACAUUUUAAUCCUUCCAUAUAUGCUAUCUAUCUCAGGGAAAAACACAUCUAAUUUUACCUUGAACGUGACCAUUCGUCUUUCAUAAAAUUGGACCUUAGACAUCAAUAUAAAUUGCAAAACCUUUUUCAUUUAAAUGGAGAGAAUUUUUAAUUAGCUGCCGAUUUCUACCGUCAUAAAUUCUUUUGCCUACAAAGCCUUGGAUUUCAAAACUUCUCAAUUAAGCAACUUUGCAUACAGUUCAUUACAAACAAGACUUGUAUGUAGAUAUCAUGAAGAAGAUAAUUUUUUGACUUUGAACACUUGUUGUUCAAGUCUGGUUGGAUUCAAAAUUACAAGUUGAUGACUUCACUCAUUAUGGCUUGACAUGAUAGGAUAUCAACAUUGCAUUGCCACAACCAUCUAGCAAAGUGUAGUUGACCAAACGCUGGAGUGGAGGAAGCUGCUAAUUACAAGCUGUUCUCUUCUGAAGCAUCUUACGUAACUAGAGCACAACCCCAUAGUUGGAGAUCGUAUUGUACAGCUUGGUUUGUGUAUAUUAUUGUUAUACUUCUUGUAUAGAGCAUGCGUGCUUGGAGAUGGUAAAGAUUAGAAUGUGAAGUUAUUCUUUAGGUUAACUUUUUUGUUGCUUCACUUGUCAGACUUGAAACAUUAGGUUAAAGCUUAUGCCACAGAUUGUAAAUAUUAUGAUUAGUUAGUGAGUUUAUGCCUUGCAUUUUUUUCUUAGAAAGUUUCAGACUACCUCUUAAAAAAAAGACUAAUAUAAUCAUAGCAGAAAAUUGUUAAAAAUAGCAAAAUUGAGAAAUAUAUUUAUAAAAAUAAGUCUAACAGAUUUUGUUCUAUGAGGUAAAUAGUUUGUUUUAUUAUUAUUAUUGACCAACACCUAAUGAUAAGAUUUAAAAAGUGUAAGGAGAAAAAGGGAACAUUCUUAAUCUAAGAGCAAGUAAUCACCACAGAAAAGGAGAAGAUGAACCAAUCAAGGGAACCAUACAAAUUUAUGAUAAAAAAAGAUACGAAAAAAGCCAUUUUGUUGUUAAUUACAUAGAGAAAACUUAAUUCAUUUUUUGGCCCAUUAAACUCGAAUCCUCUCAUUUCCUCUCAUUUCCUCUCAAAGCACUUGUGAAAGCAAAAUUCUACCUACGACUCCACCAACAAGGGGCCAAAACGAUAUCCAUUUCAGUUGCACACCAAGUACUUAGAAACAUAUAGCUCAAUAACAAUAACAACAAGCAAAACAGAAACAGUGAAGUACAUAUGAACUUUCCUCCGGACAAUACUAGAAUGAUCAAGCAUGAGCAUCUUCUUAUGAAAACCAAAGUUAUAAUCAAAUCCAUCAUUAGAUUCUCCAGCCUCCAUCGUGAGUUGAGUUAGAUCCACGAGUUCCUUUUGGUUUUGAGUUUCCAAAAUCCGUUGGCAAAUUUCGAUUAGUUCCUCCCGGAUUAUAUCUAGUUGAUAUUGAGCUCGACGUAACAUGGUGACUGCAUCCAGUAAAAGCGAAAAGUAGAUAAGAGUACAGGAAAGAGUUAAAGCCAAAAUGACCCACCAAUCCUUGCACUUAAAGGGCAAGAAAGUUUGAGCAAUACCAAAGAUGAGCAAUCGUCCAAAAAUGAGGUACCCAAUAACCAAAUUCUGGACUUUGCUAUCAUGGUGACACACCCUUUCUUCUUGCUCCUUGUAAAUAACUUUCAGCUCCUGAAAGCUUCUCAAGUCCCGAAACUCCAUCACAAAUAGAUGAAUAUUUAUGGGGAAUUGUAUCUUUCCCCAUAAAGAAUAAAGGCUUUAUAUAGCUUUUGAAAUGUGUCCCAUCACUUCCAAGUCAAAAGUACAGAACAAAGGAAACUAAAUGGGAGAAAUUUCCCAUGAUUUUCUUUUUCCUUACCAGUUUCGCUCAAAUGUGACGCCAUGAAGACGUCUGAACGUAGCUGAACGAACAGGUGGACUGCGAAGAUUGGUGCAUUGUGCCCCAAUUUGUCAAACAUAUAAAACUCCACAUCCAUAUAAAACUCCACAAUCUGUUUGCUGAUACGGCACUGAGCGCACAAUACAGAAAGACAUAUCUCAACUACUUCAACGUUACAAAGUGCUUCUUGCCGACCUACCCCGCGGAUUAUAUACAUUAAAUUACAAUCACUUGUUUACGUUGUUUAAUUCAUUGAUUUACUUAAAUUAUUAGGAUAGCAAUACAAAGAUUUCAUUUUUCUCUUCUUAAAUUUUUUUCUUCACUUUCCUAUUUCUCUUAACCUUUACUUUUCCACAUAUUCACAUUUCAAAUCUUUUUCUAAUUUUUCAUUCAUACAUGUAUAAAUUGUCGUGCACCCAUGAGGUUAUUUUUAGAAUGCAUUUGAAGUGUCCAUUUCCAAACCUGAUGGACUAAUAGUAAAUAUAAUAAUAACAUACUUUCUAUACUUUUUACGAACCAAAUAUUACCUUUCAAAUGCAUAGUUUUUUUUAGGUUAAAAUUAUAUUUUAGUCUGUAAACCUAUGAAGUUCCAUUUCUCUUUACCUCAUUUUGUUCUUUUGUGAAACUUUUUUUUUUUUUUUUUUUUUUGCUUACUCCAAUUGUUUUCUAUUCAUUUAUGUCAUAAUUGGGGGGAAGACUAAUAUAUUCUUUUUUCCUAAAAGAACAACUUGAAUAUUACUAUUAUUUUGCCUUUCAUCUGAUUGGGAAACUUCCCUUUUAUUUCCUUUUUCCCAAACCAAACUUCCCUUCAUUCAUAAGAAACAAAUUGUUUUCCAAAUACCCAAUGGGAGAUGUGUAAAAAUAAUUAUAUUUGUUUUCCAAAUCCAUAUAUAUGGCAGAAACCAAUAUAUAACAACUUCUGCCACUCACAUAAACAUUAGUAAAUGGACAACACAGAAUUAGGAGAAACACGUCUCUUGAAAAUGGGCCAUCAAACCACGACGAGUUACUCUCUCUCUCUCUCUUUCUCUCUUUCUCCAAUUCUGUGUUUACGUGAUAUACCCUCAGCUGUCUCAAUCCCUUUUUCAAUGGACUUUAUUUGACAUAUCUUACACCCGGCCCCCAUGCAGUUAUUAUAAUUAUUUAUUUCUCGUGGUCAAACCGACGUAUGCAUGUGAUUUUUAGGAGGGUAUUUUCCUUUUUGAAAAACCUUUCAAACCCUCAAUUAUAUAUCCUCCUUCAUGCUCUUAAAUUUCCUUGUUAUUGAAACAGAUCACCAAUAAUAAGUGUUUUCCCAAUUUGGUUUUGCAUUGCCAUGGCUGGCCAGCUUGGAAGGAUUGAGGACCACUGGAGGGUCCUUUUGCCUUCCACACUCAUCUCUUCUUUACCUUCCUCUUCUCUACUUGUUCUCUUCUUUUUGCCUUUCACAUGGAUGCUGUCAUUAACUAGCAUAAUCUGCUUGCAAACUAACUCAAAUUAGCCAACAAAUUUUCGUAGCUUCAACCCAAGAAAAUGUGGAGGGAACAUGUGUAAGAUAUAUCACAUAAAACAAUUAUAUAAUUUAUGUCGAAUUUGGCAUUUGAAGUUGUGUUUGCAAGGAGAAAUAUGGAAAUAACUGUUGACCAAUAAUAGUUGCUCCAAUGUGAUGUCAUGGUGAAUGCUUGAACGUAUUUGUCAACCCUAUAAAAUUCCACAUUUACACGUCCGCUCACCUGAUGGCGAAAGAACCCCACCAUCAUAUGCUGAAAUAUGGCACCACUAGCAGCACCAGGUAGCCAAAGACAUAUCUCAACUUAGCAGAAGGAGUAAAUUGUUGUACAAUCCAAAUUGAAUUCUCGGGUCUGGUGUUGAGAUGUCCACACUCUCCGUCCCUGCCCCCUAUCCACGAAUUCCCCUCGCGCUCCUAUCCCGUUACUAUCCAACGAAUUUCAUGGAUAUCUCUAGUCAAGUGGCGGCAAUGAGACAUCGACGUCCAAAGGUUUCUUUCAUUUCAUCAUCAUUAUAUAUCAUUAUAUGUCAUUUUAAUGUUAGUAAUUUAAUUUUUAAUACCUUGUUUAUAAUUCAUUGAUUUAAAUCAUUAGGUAAGUUAGAAACGGAUAGGAUAGCAAUACAAAAUCUUCAAUUUUUUCUUCACAUUUCAUUCUCUAUGAAGCAAAAGAAAAAAACAAAAAAAGUCAAAUCCUUUCCUUAUAUUCUUUUCUAAUUUUUCAUUUUCUUAAUCUAUAUUUUUAAAUAAAUGUAUUUUUCUUUUUUUGUGUAUAAUUUCAUUUAUAUAUGUUUAAAUUAUGGAGCAACCCUGAGAUUAUUUCUAGACUGCCUUCUAAAUGCAUACAUUUUAUUUUAUUAAUCCAUAAACUUUAUAUCUUGUUCUAGUUUGGUUCCUAAAUUUUUAAAGGUAUUUGAACUUUUGAAGAAAAAAAAACUUACUUUUGUCUCUAUCAUUUAAAUUUUGUUGACUUUUGUGAUGAUGUGAUUUUUAUAUUUGGAUGAUCAAAUUUUAGAUUAUUCAUCACAUUAAUUGAAUUGGUAAACAAAAAUUCUAGUAAUGUUUCCAUGAAGGUUAGAGGGUUUUCUAACUUUUUCUUACAUAUAAAUAAUAGUUAAAAAUUAAAAUCUAUAAUUUAAACAAAAAAAUUCCAUCACAAUUCGCCCUCUAUAAUACUUUUACUUUCUUUCUACACUAAUUUCUAGCAAACAGAUUUUACACCCAACAACACUUGAAAACAAAAACUCUAUCCCAACCGAUAUCCAUUUUAGUUGCACAAUAACCGCUUGCAAGCAUAUAACUCAAUAGCAGUAAUCACAAGCAAGGCACAGACAAUGAAAUAAAUAUACCCUUUCCUCCCAUUCUCAACAACGCUAAACUGAUCGAGCAUAAACAUCCUCUCGUGGAAACUCAAUUCAAAUCCAUCACAACAUUCUCCACCCUCCAUAGAUAGAUCCACAGUGUCCUGGUUUUGAGCUACCAAAAUUUGUUGGCAAAUUUCAGUAAGUUCCUUCCGAAUUAUGCCGAGUUGAUCGUGUGUUCGAGAUAACAUAACGACAGCAUCCAUGAAAAGCAAAAGGUAGAGGAAGGUAGAGAGCAGAGUUAAAGACAAAACGACCCACCAAUCCUUACACUUGAAGGAGAAAGAAAAGCCAAAGAAGAAGAGGCGUCCCCAAGAAAGGUAACCAAGAACAAUGUUUUGAAGUUUGGUUUCACAGUAACGAAGGCUUGUUUCUUGGUUGUCAUUAAUAUGUUUCAGUAACACAAAAUUCUUCCUCAAAUCUCCAAGUUGAGCCAUGGCAAUGGAACCAGAUUGGAAUUUAGGAGAAGGAUUGAAAAAGAAAGGGGAUUGAUUGGAUUGUGUAUAUCUCUGAAAGGAAUGACUUGGAAAUGAAUAUACGAGAAAUGAGCUUUAUAGUGAAAUUUUGAUAGGAAAAUGGUGGCAAACGUGGGGUCCUCUCGUAGGAUAAUGGUUGAAAAAGAUGAAAUAGCGGCAGAAAAAGGAAUUUAGAUUGGAGGGAGGAAGCUUCCUAAAGGCAUGACGCCAACUCUGAGCUUUGACGGAGGAGGUAAAAUUGUGUAGAGAUAACAAUACAACAAUAGCCAUUUUGAUAGUCCACAACUCCAACAAAACAAAUGGUUAAGAAAGAAAAUGGUUGGCAAUGAACAGGAAAAAAAGAAAAAACCCUUUUCAUUCACAGGUUUGAGUAUAUUACUUCCACUGAGUUUUUGUUUCAUCUACAAAUUUGAAAAUGUUAAAAAAUUUAAUUUGUGUUUUAUCUCUUUUUUGGUUCUUUUAAAUUUCAAGAUUUACCUUUUUACUCUUCACUUUUUAAUUAAAUUACUAUCUCUAAUUUUCAUAUCACAAUCAAUUAAAAUGUCCAUAUCAUAACUAUUUAAAACUUAUGUAUAGAAAGUUAAUGCCAAAGUGACGGUUGGAAGGAAAAGGUGUAGUAAGAGAUAUGAGAAUAUAUUCUCAUCACAACUAUGUCGAUGAUGUCCACAUCACAACUCAUAACUAUUUUUGAAUUUUCAAAAUAUACACCCUUUACUACUUUUAACUCAAGAAUUAGGGAAAGCAGAAACGAAAUUUACAAUGAAAUUAGUAUAACCCUAAACUAAAGGAAGAGAGAAAAGGUUAUGAACCAAACUAUGUCAAAGGAUUAGGUGCAUUAAAUCAAAAUCAUGCCCCUAAUGUGAACCCAGAAACUCCAAAGGCCACAUGUUCUCAAUUUGUUACAAAUCGUAAAAAGGAUAUAUCAUAUAUAAUAAUAAGAAUAAUAAUCGUCUCAAUUUGUGUCCUUUUUGAACCCAUAAACCCUAAACUUACCAUUUAACUCGAUCAACUUCUUAAAUUUACAUAAGCUAAACUUUUGAAGAUACUGAAGGUAUUAAAUUAUCAAAUUGGCUCAUACGGUGUACUAUUAGGAAAGAAUGUCUAACACAGGAGAUGAAGAUCUGCUUGGAUCUUUGACUUCAAAAGAAAAAGGGAAAACAGUCUAUUUUGUGCACUGAUCAUACUUAGUUAAUCAUUUUGUGUGUUUUGGCAAAAUAAAUAAAAGUAAAUUUUCCACCAGGAUAUAUAUGACUUAACCUUACGUUGCCUUUUAAGGAGAAGAAAUCCAGCAAAUGGAUGUUGUGUUAACUUAUUUAUUUUCCUUGCAAAAAUUUAUGACAAAUGAACACUGAAAGCUCACAUGUGAUUUAUAGAAAUGAUACAAGGAAAUCAAAGAUAAUACAAACUCCGUGAUAAAAUGUUCAUCUAACUGAAUAUGAAUAGGCAAGAGAGAUUGGUCUCCACCGUAUUCAUCACAAACAUACUGGUUUACAUGGGAAGUCUUGAAUUGAAAGAAGGAUAUAGGAACUUUAACGCUCUAAGUAAUUUUGUUUUACCUCGUAUCCUUUCAGUAUCAUGACCCUACUUCAAAUGGCAAGAAACAAGGUUUGACAUGCGAGAGGGCAUGCUUCUGGCUUCUUGGAAGAAAAAAUUGAACCAUAGGAUUUAAGAGAUCCCCAAAACACUCUAACAGCACCCACUAAUCAAAUGCAUUUAAGAAUAAAGGCUAAAAAAGAAAAUAGAAUCUAAGACUAAAUUUUGUACCAAUGUUAUAUCACACUGCUAUAAUUUGACAUUUUUUCGAAGUGAAAGAGCCUCACCAAUCCCAAAGUAGAAACGCUGUGGCCUCUGAUGUCAUCUCUUUAACUUUACUACCACCUUGGAGGUCAGGAAUCGGUAUGGCUAUGGAUUAACUCAUCUGAGCAUAUUUACCAGCAUCCAAUCCAACAAGUGUAGCAUCCAUUCCUAUAGCAUAAAAAACCAGGAAUGAGUGCAUUGAAUCAAAUAAUGAAGAUUAAACCAAGCCUCAUUUUCAAAUAGCUGUAGUACUCAAAACAGCAUAGCUAAGAUAACGUGGAAAAACAUGAAGAAAAUCAGUCAGCAAAGCAGACAAGUUGAGCUGAAAAAGAUAAUGAACAACAAAAAAGAACAAAAGGUCGCAGCAAAGGCAACGAAACAAUACAGUAGAGAAAAUAGGAGCUAAAUCCUGAAAUAUGCUAAUAACCAAGAAAAUUGUCGAGUUUUACUCAGGAGUUCACUUAUAAAAUAAGUAAAGUAUCUUCAAGUGAUAGAGAGUCUCAUACGCUUCGGGAAAUCUAAAUUCUACACAACUAAUAUCCACAUACUUAGGAGGAGUUUAAGUUCACGAGGGAGUCUCAUAUCCAGGAGGAGGCUAGAUGUUUAGAUGAGUUAAGCUCUAGGUUGUCAUUAUUAAUCUUCAUUAGCUACAGAUAAGUACAACGUUGUAAUCGCUUAACUUGAUUAUAUAAGUGGAUUAUUUUUCCCAUGCACAUUGCCCUCUUGAGUGUAUUAUAAUCACCAAAUUGGGUUACCAACUCUUGAGUGCUAUUAUUGUUUCUCUGUCUGUUAAUUUACUCGUCUCUAUGAUUACUGGGAUGUAUUGUAUGAUAUCUAUAAUUUGUGUGAAAGAACUACAUUACAAAAUUUUACUUAGGUUUCUACUCUGUCAACAACAGUAAGAUAUUCAGUAACCUACUUAGAUUGCCCAUAACAAUUAUCACAAUGUCAAGUUAAAUCCAACCCAAUCAAUAGACGACUGUUUAAUAUUUUGAUAUUGUCCAAGUAAUGGAGAAGAUUGGCUACUUGAGGAUAUUUACAAUUUUUUUUUUUAAUAUCCGUGACUCUCCGGUCAAACUUACCUGCCUAUCGACUAAUCUAACGUCCACCAUAGAUAGAAGCCAUGACCUCUUAGUUAGUUAUAGAGGAUAUUCACAAAUAAGACUAAUUAUUGAGCUUGUUUUCGAUCUUACUGAAAAUAUUAACAGAAGUGCAAUUUUAUUUGUUUAAUUGGCUUUGCUGUGUACUUCAAGUAACAUUGAAAGAGCAAUGAUUAUAUGGAUUGAAUUUAUUCCUAUAUCAGAUGUUGAGAAGGAAAAGGGAAAGCUCAGUGGAUAUAUGUGUAGAUAUAUUAUUUCCAUCAACAACGCAUAAAAUAAACAUAACAUUUCCCUGUGGGGAUCGAUUACCUCAUUCUUUUCCAAGACCCGUGUUAAUGAAAACAUAAAGUGACCUUACAUUGGGGCUUGCUUGAUUACCUCAAAUUCUUUUAUUUCAACGACAGCAAUCUGAUCUAUAUAUGGAGAUUUUAUACCCACAACAAAAAACUUGAAACAAACUGUAAAUUUAGCAGUAGGUCUGGUCAGAUGAAUGUUCAGUUUGAAUUGCACAACAAGAGCUUACAGGUGUAUAGUUCAAAAGCAGCAACAGCAAGCAGAGUAAAUAUAGUGGAAGCAAUAUAAACUUUUCUCUGGACAAGUGUAAAUGGAUGGUACGGAAGUAACUGAACCUGGAAACUCAACUCCAACCACCCAUUAUCACUUGAAAUUGAAUCUCCAGCCUCAUCAUCAUUUGGGCUUCCAGUAUUCAAAAUCUGUAGGGAGAUUUCAAUCUGCUUCUUGGAAAUAAUAUCCAAUUGAUUUUGGGCCCGAUACAACAUGAAAACAGCCUCAAGGAAAAACAAAAAGUAGAGAGAAGUAGAGGAAAGGAUAAAAGAAAAAACCAUCCACAAAUGAUGAGUGCAAUUGAGGAGGGAGAGGGAGGAAGAAGUGUGAUACAUACCGACGAAGAACAGGCGGUCCCAUAUAAGGGAAGCAAUAGCUAAGUUUUGGGCUCUAGUCUCAUAGUAACGAACUCUCUGCUCUUGCUUUUCAGCAAGAAAUUUCAGCCCAUCAAAUUUCCUCUUCAGCUCUCCAAACUCCAUGGCCAUGGAACCCAAUUAACAAACUGAUAUCUAUGAAAAGAUGUGCAGAUGUAAUGAAGAAUGUUGAUUGAUCCACGGCAUAGAUGGCAGAAAAAAAAGAGAAAGCAUUAUAUAGAGACAUGAAAUCAGAGAUACGGAAACACGUGGAGUAGCGCCACUUUCUUUGACUCUUUUAUGUUUCUCCAAAAGACUUUUGCAGACUUCGGCGCUCGACAAAAUCGUAAAUUUUCAACUUUUAACGUAUAAUUAGAAUUAACUAAAAUAAUCAAUUAGGUUAAAUCUAUUAUUUAUUAAUAUGAAAAUCUCAAAUUUUGUUAUUUUUUUUUUUUUGUAAAUAUCUUUAUAUAUAUAUAUAUAUAUAUUUGACAAUUCUCCUUAAGAAUGCUAAUAAUAAUAAUGAUACAAUAUACAACUUUUAACCUACAGAAACCUCCGAUAAGCACUGUGUUCAGCGAUUAUCGUCGUCGGCCAAACCUCCGAUCACUGCUUCUGAAAUACAAAAUUAAAUAGAGUUGAUUUUGAAAAGUAGAAAUGAGAUCAAAAUUAUGAUUUUGGUAAGUGUUGAUCUUCAAACCUGAAAUAUAAUUUUAGCACUUCCUUUUACUCAACAACCCUUAAUUAAUAAUAACAUGAACAUAACACAUUCUCACUAUGGGGGGGAUCAUCUCUAAUAUGGAGAUUUUAUGACCACAACACACAACUUGAAACAAAUUGUAAUAAGUUCUGGACGUACACACCAGAUGAAAAUGUUCAGUUUGAAUUACACAAUAUGGUCUUACAGGUGUGUAGUUGAAAUGGAAAGCAGCAACAGCAAGCAUAGUAGAUAUGGUAGAAGCAGUAUAAGGCUUUCCUCUUGACAACCGUAAAUGGGUGAUACUGAAGUAACUUUACCUGCAAACUCAGCUCCGCCAGCCUCCACCUAUUAUAAUUAUCGCUUGAAAUUGAAUUAUCUCCAGCCUCAUCAUCAUCAUCAUCAUUUGGAGUUCGAGUAUUCAAAAUCUGAAAGGGAAAUAUCAAUCUGUUUCUUGGAAAUUAUAAUAUGCAAUUGAUUUUGAGCUCGACACAACAUGAAAACAGCCUGAAGGAAAGACAAAAAGUAGAGAGUAUAGUAGAUAGAGGCCAGGCUGAAACCUAAAACCAUCCACAGACGAUGAUGAGUGCAAUUGAGGAAGGAGAGGGAGGAAGUGUGAUACUGAUACAAACCAACGAUGAAGAAGCGGUCCCAUAUAAGACAAGCAAUAGCAACGUUUUGAGCUCUUAACUCUUGCUUUUUCAGCAAUGGGGUUUCAGCCCAUUAAAUGCUCUCAUCAGCUCUCCGUUAUUGUCCAUGGACAUGGGCUUAAACUAUAUGAACAGAUAUCCAAAAUAUUGUAACACAAUGAAGAAUUUUGAUUCAUCCACGAAAGAGAGGAGAUCUCCAACCAUUAUAUAGCUAUAGAGACAUGAAAAUGAGAGGUGAUAACCGACGUAGGAAAAUGACUGAAAGGAAAAGUUAAUUAUAUUCAAUGGAUUGGAUUUAUUUGUAUAACUCUCCAACUCUUUUACUUUUCUUUUAUCUCUUAUGAAAUUCUUUUAUCUUUGUGGAAAGCAUAAUUUUGAUUAUUUUAUAUUGAUCAUAUUCUUUUUUUUUUUCUUUCUUUCUUUGCAAAUUAAAAUUAAAAUAAUUUAUAAUCCAACCAAACUAUUAUAAUCCAAAAAUUAUUAUAUGUUAAACCUUAAAUCCAUAAAACAAUCAAAUUCAAAUCAACAAAGUCCAUAAGUUUUCACUCUUUCUAUCAAAAAGAAAGAAUAAAAUCUUUAUCUAAAAAACAAAUAGGUUAUUGUUAAAUCCGUUAUGGAUUUGUUUUCGAAAUUUUAUAUCGUUUUCGUUGAGCGGAAGAGAGAAUAUAACUUCUAUGAGGUAUCUUAUUCUCUUGGGAAGUUUAUACAUGGGGGCAUUGACUUGUGAUAUUCAAAGCCUAUGUUAUUAAGGUAAAAUGAUAAUGCUAAGAAUUAAGGCUCUAAGACACAAUUAAUGGAAAACAUUAUCUAAAAUAUAUAGACGAAUAGUUGCAAAUAUAACAAUGUGCCAACAACAUUUUAAAAAAAUUGUUACUAUACAUAUAAAUGUAAAAUAUAGUAAUUAAAAUCUAUUGAAGUCUAUAUAAAUGAUAGCAAAUCUUAAUCUAUUAUUGAUAGUAUAUCAAACGAGAAAUAAACGAUAAAUGAAGGAGAUCAUUAAGGAAGAAUACGAAGUGACGACCAAGCAAAAGAAAAAGAAAAGAAAUGUGAUAGUCCAAUGGAAGGGAAUAAGAAUUUAUAGGACUUUCGAGAUAAAUAUUUUGGACCCACAAGAGAGAAAAACGACAACAAAGAAGAAAAUACCCAAAUAUUUUCUUUUUUUGAGUGCGUAAUCGAUGACUUUGUAUGCUUCUCUUUUUAGUUGAUUACUCAAACCAUAUUUGAGGUUGUUUUCCUCUCUCCAAUGAUUAUCAAGUGGAAUAUAUAUGUCUCAUGCUUACCAUUGGAAAUGAGAAUAUUACUAUUGAGAAGGAAUCUGGUACGCUUACGAAGUCUAGUUGCUUACUAAUAUACUCAUCCUUGGGAGAGCUUACGUCUUUUGUAGAGGAGUACUCUUACAUUUAAGGGAGCUAAUUAACAUAGUUGAGCUAUCCACGUGUCAUUGUAUUUAUAGUUUAUUUAUAGAUAAGUACAACCAUUGUAAUUUGGUUGACUUUAUAUUAAUAAAAGUAUCUUUCUCAAGCACACUACCCUCUAGAUGUAGGUGGUAUAUGGUCGAAUUGAGUUAUCAACCUCCUUUGUAUUUUAUCUAUUAAUGUUUAUCUCUCUACAUCAUUCCAAUGGUUGAACUAUUUGAAAAGAACAAACUCAUUAAGGAGAGGGGAAAGCUACAUGGCUCUGACCACCAACCCAAAAAUGGGCUAGGGCUAGGGCCAAAGACAAAUCGAUAUCUUUGGUAUGAAGGGUUUUGAAUUCACUCCCGUCUAAAUUAGUGCUAGGGAUUUUUCGAAAAGCUAAGACUUUGUAUGAAGAAAUGUGGUUAGUAAUGCGGUCAGUGAAUAACUUUGGGAGGCAUAUGAAUUCUAGAAAUGGUACAAGUUGAUAGGAAUGCAACCAAAGUCUCACAUUAGUUGGAGAAGAAAGUAAUCAUUGAUGUAUAUACAUAAAGAUAAUUAAUUAUCUCUAUAUUGGUAUGAAACUUUUUGGAUAAUAUAAUAUAUAUAAGAUGGGUUAAAAUGAUGAAUGAUAGUAAAUAUUGAUUAGUAUAAAGUAAGUCUAAUUUAUAUAAUAUUUUUAAAGUAUUGGUUGGUUUAAUAUUCUAGAUUUAAUUGUUAUAUUUGGAAAGGUUGGGUGGAGAUUAAAAUUACAUUAAUGAAGGAAGGAAAUGAGGGGAGGUUGAAUUAGGGAUUGAGGAUUUGUCUUUUAAGGCCAAAGCCUUGAGUUUUAUUGUCGUCGAUUCGACGAAGAUUUCAAUCGAACCACGUACAAGCACGUUGCAUUGAUGAAGCUUCUUUGCUCACUCAACUUCUUAUCACCUUUUCUCCUACACAAGAAGGAGCUGAAGAAGCUGAAGGAGCUGAAGGAGCUGAAGGAGCAAGAGCAGGGCAGCUAGUAGAACAAUCUUAGGGUUUCUUUUUUGUUUUGUUUUGUUUUUGUUUUUAAUCGAAUUGUUCUCUUCCAUCCCAUGCGUAAUCGAUUGCCUUCCAAUUUCCGGAUUCUGAUUGAUCCGGCGCUUACCCAAUGUCCACUGCAACAAACCCUUGUUGCCACUCGCUUUCCUUCCGCCCUGCUCCUCCCAAUUCUAGCUUCUCGAUUAGGGUUCAUUUGAAGCCUCUCCUCCCUCGUUUUCCUCUCAAUUCAAGCAUCCAUUGUGCCACCAAUCUCUCCCGCCGCCGCCGAAAUGUAUGCUCUUUCUCUAUCUAUCCCUCUCUCUCUAUAUAUAUUUAUAUAUAUCCACCCACAAGAGAAACGGGCAUUGUUUGUUUCCGUUAUGUUGAGAUAUGAUUAAUUCUGAAAGGGGGUUUUCGUUUUUUUCACUGGCUUUAGUGUAAAGUUUGUGUUAUCUGUUGCUUCGGAUAAGAAAUGAUGUAUGAUUAUUAGCUGUCUUUUAAAUUUUCUUUAUAUUGAAGUUUUUUUUUUUUUUUCUGAAUUUCUCUCUGUAUUAUGAAUUCGGGUGGAAAUUGAGUUCGAAUCUGAUUCUUUGCCAGUGAACUGCUAACUGUUCAUGGACUUCUUCAGUUAAAAUUUGUUUUCAUUGGAUUCUCACUGGAGGCUUAUGCCUUCUUCUCUGUUGAAUUUUUUUUAUCUUGAAGAAAUGGGAGAUUCUCUGCUUUCGUCGUGAAGAGACCUCGCCGGAAAAUUUUGAGUCCAAAUCUGUGGAAGAUAAAUUGGCAGAAGACCUGGUGACAACCCCUGAAAUCAAUCAACCGAGUGACCCGAGAAAAGAAUGGGUGUCUAGUUUAUACAAGGUAAAUUUAUGUUCGCAUCAUUUGAAUGACUUAAUAUUCUUCAAUUUUAAAGGAAAGCUAUUUCUACGUUCCUAAACGAUAACUCUGUAUGCUCAUACACUGUUUAUAUAAAUCCCUGAAUGAAAUAUAUGUGUUAAUGUAAGCACGAAUGAAGUAGGUUGUAGAGAAUGUAAAAUUUGAUGAAAGAAAAUCCGACUAGGUAAAUAAGCCUACCGUGGCAUCCAAAGUACUAAACUAGGGAUCAAGUGUGCUUGUUCUAUAUAAGUUUGCUAAUAUACAUACUUAACUGCUUUAUUUCCUAAUUUCCUUUGGGAACUUCGAAUCAUGUAUAUCAAUUACUAUCGAUCAAACAUACAAUAACUCGCGAUCAUAGCACAUUUGACUUAAUAACAUGUCUGAGGAAACAGGUUAAUGUGUGUGUUGAAAUUUGGAUAUAGCUCCUUUGAGUGUUUUUUUCCUCUUCUCCAUUUUAGUUUGUUUGGUGAGAUAUUCUAUUUUACUAUGCAUCAUGUUCAAAGACAGCAACUUGUCUAUUUUGUUAUCUAUAGUUUAGUGUUAAAAAAAGGUUAUCUUGGUGUUGGAGUUGGAGGUUUGCUUGAACAAUUGUCUCAUACAUUUGACAAGUCCACUUGACUAGUAUUUUUGCAGAAUUUUUACCUAUAUAAAUUACCCUUGAUGGGAGGAUUACCAGCUCUUCUUCAUCUCGUAAAUUGAUUAAUUAUAGGGACAUUUUUUUGUUAGAAAAAUGUAAUAUCUUACCUAGCCCCUCCUUUAAAUAACUUCCUAAAGUUAACAAAAAAAUAUUUCUUAUCACAUCAUUGUAAAAAUGUAGAGGAAAACAGUCCCUUCAAAUGCAUUUAUAGCUCUAAGGAGAAUUAAUAAAGUGAACACCAAGUGAUAGCAAAUGCGUAAGUUGUGGUAUUCUACUUUCCAAGUCCGAACCAAUAUGGUAAAUGCCUCUAGCAAAAGUCAACUGUUGUCUUCGUGAAGAAAAUAGCGAUUCACAUUAGUGCUCAUGUGGACAAACUCUCUUUUCCUUUCUAUACUUUGUUUUGCACCUUUCAAAUUACCAACUAUCAUUGAUAUGUGUUGUUGCAACCUUUCAGAAUAGUAAUGGCCAAAGUCAUUUGCAUAACCUCAUUUGCCUUACACUUUUCUUGUAAUUUUCACCCUUGAGUAAGCAUUAAACAACAAAGCAAUCACCUCGUUAUUUCAAGACGCCCUCUGUCCUUUUUUUUUUACCUUUCAAUUUUCUAAGCCUAUCAUCAAUAUUUUACAAUCUAUCAGAUUUAUAAUUACCAAAGAAAUAACAUGUCGCUUAUCAUUUAUUCUGUUAAAUGAUAUCGAGCUACCUAUUACAUAUUAGAUUAAUAUGUUACUAUUGUUCAUUUUCCUAGAUUUUGAGAAGUUCAAUUUUUCCAAACUAUCUUUGAUAUGCUGCUACCACUCAUCAGAAAAACAGGGGACAAUGAACUUUUUAGACUUGGCUCUUUUUACUUCUUUAUACUGGUGUAAAUAUCAGCAUUUUUUUAAUGAUUACAACCUUACUACUCUAGUAUAAAGAAAUAACAUCUUUAUACUUCCACCUUUGUUUGCUGGCUUGGGAAUUUUCUCCUUCUCUAUUGUUUAUGUCAGUUAUCUUUGAAAUCCAUUUUUCUUCUUCAGAAAAGGGAUUUGUACGAACUAAUUUGCUUGUCACUUUUCUUGUGAUUAUUCCAUUUGAGCGACAUCAAACAACGAAUCAAAACUUUUAUUUGAUUCUUGUUGCCUGAUUCCCUCUCCUACUUUUAAGAGAUCCCUUCUUGUUACCUGAAGGCCUUGAACUAAGAAAACCCACAGCCAAAUUUGUUUUAUCUGCCCCUUCCUUUUUUGUUUCAUAGGAGCCACGAGAGAGUAGAUGUUCCUAAUUGUUGCUCUGCUGCUCUGUUGGAACUGAGGUUGGAGAGGUAUUUCUUCUUAGUUGUUAUUGUUGUUGUGAAACUUGAAAGACCAAGUCUGCUGCUUUUCUCCUCCCUAAAUACUAAGAGUGAAGUUUCUGAUUGACUGUAAAUCCAUGGUGUCCUCGUUGGGAUUUACACUUUAUACUGCACUAAAUCUUUGUGGUGCCUCGUUCAACAAUUUUUUUUUAUCUAUUUAAUUUAGUAAUUUCCACCCUGUGAUCAAGAAGCUGACUGCCUGGUUUACUUUUAUUUGGUCAAUCUUAGGCCGUUGAAUCAAUAUUUGUUACAAAGCCAUGGGUGGUUCCAUGGACAGCGAAAACCAUUGUUCAGGUGAUUUCUAUUUUUCUUCUAUGUUUAUUUUUUAUUCUUUUUGUGUCUCUUGUAUAAUCUAAAUGAGCAGCGAAAAGAAAACUUUCAAAAAUUAAUAUAUGUUGAUGUGGCUGUUUUCUUUUUCUAUAUCAUGAUACAUUUUAGGUAUUGUGUUCAUACAUUUUCAGUCCUAUGAAAUUAAGAAGAACGAAAUGAAUUUAACAAGUUAAGUUUUUUGGUGAUGUAGGUUAUGCUUCUGUGGGUUGCUUCAUUUUGGGUUAUAGGGUCAUGGAUAAUUCCAAUAAUAGCACAUACAGCCGGAUACAGAAAGGAAUUCAUGACACACAGAGGGCAAGCCUUAUACAGCCUUCUCACAGAUGUGGCCGAAGGGCUUACCGGAAUGGCAAUUUUGCAUCGCUGCCUCUCAAGAUUCCACCCCCUUCCAUCUAGCUGGUUUAAAUUCAGCAUUGAAGGGAAAUGGCAAUUCGACGUUGGUUUAGGCUGCCUAAUGUUUCCACUUGUAAACCGUCUUUCACAGGUGAAUCUAAACUUGUUGCCCGUUCUUCCCUCAACUCCAAUUACUGUCUCAAGCGUCGAACAAUCAAUCGUUGCUAGGGACCCAGUGGCAAUGGCACUCUAUGCAGUGGUCGUGUCGGUCUGCGCUCCCAUUUGGGAGGAGAUUGUGUUCCGAGGGUUCCUCCUACCGUCAUUGACGAAAUAUAUGCCAGUAUGGUGCUCAAUUUUGGUGAGUUCAAUAGCCUUUGCUCUGGCACAUUUCAAUAUGCAGAGGAUGUUACCUCUAAUACUGCUGGGGAUGGUGAUGGGUACUGUGUAUGCAAGAACUAGGAACCUUCUACCAUCAAUGUUGUUGCAUAGCCUUUGGAAUGCCUUUGUAUUCUUAGAUCUCAUGAAAUAAAUGUUGGUCCUUAAGACUGUAAAUUUUGAUUUCAUUAAAAGUUAUAUUAUGUGUUUUGUUGUAGCAUGAGUAAGUUGAAGCUUUCCAUUUCCUUGAGUUAUUGUGAAAUUUGGUUUCACUACAAUCUUAUUCAACAUUGUUAGUACACAAAAUGUUGGGUUAACUUGGAGAUGUAUUUUCACCCCCAAAUAGUUCCAUACUUAAACAAACAUUUAGAAAUUUGAACAUUAGAAAGUGAAGGAUAAUGUGACAUGUACUCGAUCAAGUUAGAACAAAUUAUUAUAGUCUUUACUAAAUCGGUAUAAGAAUUGUUUUGAAGUUGAACUUGGGAUAUUUUUUUGUUGAGAAAUUUUAAAUUUUAGUCAAUGAUAUAAUGUUUUAAAUAACCUUUAGUUCCGUAGUAUUGACACAUGGCAUUCAAUCCUAGAUGUUGGAGAUUUAAUUUUUUUAUCAAGGAAAAUAAAAGGUUGACAUAUGUUUAGAAAUCAUUUAGUAAAGAAAUGUUAACAAUUAUUUCUAUCCAAACCGUAAAAAGGUGAUUUUAUUAAAAAGAAAUCACUUGUAAAGUAAGCACAACAAUGUUCCAAAUAUUACUUUUUAUUUUUCACUAAAAAGCUGAGAGAGUCUUGAAAAACAGAAAAAGGACAAAAGGGCACAAAAAAGGGUUUAGAAUAUAUAAAGCAAAGUAUAUGCUGAAAGAUGAAGAGAACAAAAUGUUUGUUGUUGAACACUACAAAUGAUUUAGGCCUUUAUUUUACUUUUAAGAAACAACAAUGUUUGGACCUUUAAAGUAUUGUUUCUUUUUUGGAAACUUCUGUUCUUCAAUCUGUUCUAAGGAUUAUUAUUCACUUUUUCUCUAAACACAUAAUUUGAUGUCUAAACUAUAUUGACUGUUCCAAUUUAGUUUGUCAGUUAGUAUAGUUCAAUCAAGUUUAUAACAGAUGACAGCAAUGAAAUAAAACAGUACCUAAGAAUGUGAUGUGCCAUUUCAUUGUUCUAAAAAGCAAAAUUUUGAUGUAUUACUCCACAAAUAUUGAACUAAAAAAGGCAAGAGCUUACAUUGGUGUUCAACCUAAAAAAGCUAGCUCAUAUAGACAUGGUUGAUAGAUGAUCUCGUUGAUGUCGAAAAAUGGACUAAUUAGUGAGUUUAGGAUUUUGAGAGAAAAUGAUAAAAAUUUGAAUAUCAUGGUGGUGUUAGCUAGACCAACGAUAUUUCGGCACUCAAGUAAAUAAAGGGUUGAAAUGUGUGAUAUUAUAGAGAGCUUUGACGAAUGAAUCCUAUCGCUAUUAGAGAAUUAGUCAUAUGUAAUGGAUGCUUAGGCUCUUUACUACCCAAUGUAGUAUUGAUGCUUUAGCGACUUACUCUAAUCAACCCCUUCAUGAAUUACUGGUUAAGAAUUUAGAUCACUAUUUGCCUAAUGUGGAUGUUUGAUGGUCCUCCUUUGUGUCGUUGGCUCCUCAGCGGAAAUUCUUCAUGGGUCCUUCAUGAUACAACUAGGACCUUGAGUCUUUCCUCAUUUGUCCCACCACUCUUGUCCACUUACGAGAACUUGCUCUUAUCAAAGUCCGUAGAAAAGGUAGAUAGAGCACGGCGAUUUUUUCUUAUGUAAUAAAUUUGAUUUUUAAAACUAGAUUUUUUCCAAAAAAAAAAAAACAAGUGGUUAUCAAAUUAGCUUAAACAUAAAAAAAAACAUAAAAAAAAGCAAAAUAUGAAUGCGGUGAACGUGGAUCGAACACGUGACCUUCAGAUCUUCAGUCUGACGCUCUCCCAACUGAGCUAUCCCCGCAAUUUGAAUACUAAAUUUUAUAAUUAUAUAAGUAUAUCUAUUUGCAUUUGCCUAUAUAGUUUGUUUAUUAAAAACUUAAAAGGUAUAAUUGUUUUUUUUGUAAAGGUAUUGUAAUAACUAAGAAUUUGAACCCAAGGACUCAUUGUCUUCAGGUACAUACAGGUGUUACUUAACUCUAUUUAUUAGAGUUUAUAAUGAGAACAAUUGUACCAUAUACGUACACAAUUGUAUGAUAAUAUUAAUUUUAAACAUGAUAAUCACUCACGACGCGUCCUCGUUUAUAUACUUAUAAAUCUCUCUUCUCUAACCUAUGUGAGACAUAAAUUUGUUUAAUCUAAUUAACAAUCCUCUUCUCAAUCAAAAUACAACGCUUCUAGUCUCUCAUCAUCCACCACCACUUCCGAUCAACCACUUAUGAGAGUUUGCUCUUAUCAAACUCAAAUAGAGCGCAACCAUGCAUGAAAUUUUUUUUCUUGUGUAUAACACACUACCAAAACCAAAUUUAAAAACUAUCAUAUAAAACAUUUUUAAAGAAAAUGUUAUAAAAUCAAUAGAAAUUUGAACUAAAAAUAUAUAUUUAGCCUAAAUCAAAAUAUCCAAACAAUCCCCUUCAGUUUCAUUAUAUUGUUCAAAUUUUCUACUAUUCAUUCUCUUCCCCAAAAAUCAUUCAUAAGGGAAGAAAAUAAAAAGAGAAGAUAGAAAAAGAAAAAGAAAAAAACCCUAUUAAUUAAAUUAAUAUUUUUUAUAUAUACACAGAAGACAUGAACUUUCACAAUUACAUCAUAUCCUUCCCUCAUAGGCUCAUAGCAGAUGGCCAACAGCCUUCUCCUCCUCCUCCUUCUUCUUCUUCUUCUUCUUCUUCCAGAUCUUCCUUCAAAUUAUAAUAUCAUAACUUCACAAAACUAAGCUCAUCACUGUCAGCCAUGGAAGCUUCUUCUCAACCUCUAUCCAUAGAAAGCUUCUCAUAUAGUUGGUUAGUGAACAUGAGAUCAUCCUUUGAAAUUAGUUGUGCCAAUUCCUUUAGAACCUCUCUUGAUGAAGCUUCCUUCAUUGAAAUGGAUCCUACAAUGCCACCUUCCAAGAGAUUCUACUUCACUAAUUCCUCUCGCCGUUCUAACGACUUCAAGUUCCCAGCUCCUCUCUCCCCGUCUCCCUCUCUCCCUCUCGUUCACGCCGACCAGCUCAUCUCCAACGGCUACCUCGUCCCCGUAUAACUCUCUCUCGUAUCGAAACUCUUAACCCCUUUUUGCAUUUUCUCUAAUUAAUGUAAACUUUUUUUCUUUUCCUUCUAAAUUAUAGUUGCAAGUGUUCGAGGGCGUAUCGGGUGUCAUGAUCGGUUCACCUGAUGCAGUUAAGCUCGUAGCGGAGCCACCAGGAAAAUCUGCAGAGUCGUUGAGGAAGUCGUGCAGGAGAUUAUCAAGGCAGAUUUUCCAGAAAUAUUUGAACUUUUUAAGGCCACUUUGUAGAAGGAUUCAAAGGGUGGGAAAUUAUGGGAAUAAUACUAAUGGUAAAUUAGGAGGGAAGAAAUUGUUGUUCCAUGGUGGAAAAUAUACUAAUACUACUACUACUACCACAAGGGAAGCUCAUCAUCAGUGUAUUGAUGAAUGGAGAAGAUCUUCUUGUGAUUCUGAGACCUCAAUUUAUGAUGCAGUUCUUCACUGCAAAAACUCCAUAGGUCUGUCUGUCUCUCUCUCUCUCUCUCAUUUUAAUUUCAUUUUCCUCAUCAUUUCUCCAAAUAUAUUAAAAUUUGUUGAGAUUAAUCUGCUUAAUUACCAUAAGUACUAUAUAUUCUUAGGCUUUCUUACUGUUGGGUCGGAUGAAAUUGUUGAGAGUAAAACCAAAGUCAAAAUCUUUAUUGUUACAUAGAAGAUGAUUUUCUUGGUACGUAUGAGGCCUCUUUUAGGUGAAACAAAAAUCAGAGUGCUACGAAGAAUAUAAUCAUUAACAUUGAAUAUUGUCAUAAGGAGAUGAUAUGUUUGUUAGAAUAAUUAAUGUAAUUUUUUCCUAAUUAAUUAAGUGGUAGCAGUUCCAUCAUAAUUUAUAUACAUGGUGGGUGCCUGUUAUAUAAAUCUAAAUUAAGACGUACUACGACAAAAGUUCUAGUGAAUCAAAUUAAUUGAUAUUUGAAGCUGGUACACUACGCUUCUUUCCUGUUAAACAUCACUUGAAACUUACUUUUAACCAUUCAAAAACAUAUCAACCUUGAAAAUCGUUUAAAAACCUAAGAAGCCAACAUUCCUUUUAUAUGAUUCUUAUAUAUAUAUAAGGGUGGAAGGAUUAUAUUCACAUCAACACACACAUGCAUGGCUUGAAAAUUGUUUGAUAUUUGUUCAGGAAAAUGAAGAGGGAGAAGAGAGCAAGGAAGGGGCCUGGGGAAGGGAAAAAAGGAUGAUGAUGAUGAUGAUGAUGAACAUAGGGACAGUACAGUUGUUGUUUGUCUGUUGUUAAUUUCUGUUUGUGUAAGUUUGUGGGGAUAUAUAUGGAAAAAAUGCAAUAGUACUGUUUGUGUUUUGUCAUUGUGAGAGUAAAGAAAAGAAUCUGUUUUGGAUUAUGAGAGUGGAAAAAUUGUGGCCUUUGAUGGAAAGGUGAAAAAGGCAUAUAUAUAUAUAUAUAUAUAUAUCAUAUUAAAUUUUUAUUUGUCUUUACGUUCUUGUGAAACUCAAACCACUAAAUUUAAAGACAGUACUAAAUCUCUCACUUUCUUCUUCUUCUUUCUUUAUUUCUCUCCCACACUUUUUCCUAUUUCAAAGUUUUCUGUCAUAAAUACACAAUCAAACAACAAUGGUCUCAUGCUGAUUCCGACUUCAACAUAUUUCAACGAAACUCUCUAUCUCUAUAAGUUUUACUUUGAUUCAUAUAUAUAUAUAUAGUAUCUGAAUUAACAACACAAUUAACAAUAGUUAGUUCAUAAAAGUGACUGAAAAUUAGAUUUUUUAUAAACUAUAUAUAAAAACUUUUUCAAAAUGUCUCCUACUAAAUCUAAGAAAGUCAUAUCAAUUAUAUCAUUGAGCUUUACUUUGUUAACAAACCACUUGUAGUAAAAAUAUGUAUUACAUGAUAAUAAUAUAUUGAACUUUAGUUGGAUGUGUGUAUAUAUGUUUCCUAAUCAUUUUACAAAUUUUUGGAGUAAGAAUUUGUUAACGUAGUGAAAAAAGAAUUCAUACUUAAUUGGAUUGAUCUACGUGGAAAAUGACAACUCGUGUAAUAACACAUAUAAAAGUUUAGACAUUUUUCUUUGUUUGUCUUGUCAAUUCACUUUCUACCCGUAAUGUCAUAAUUUCAAUUUUAUUUAAACAAACGCAUUUAAGAAAAAUAAAAAUCAAAACAAGUUCAUAAUUUGGAGCAUAUGAGGGGUAUUCUAUAUAGUUAAAUAGUUUUGAUUUAAGUAAAGUAUGAUUGUUAAUUAAUAAUUAAUAAGGUGAAGAAGAUAUGAUUGUAGAUAAAACAAUGGUAUGAAUUAAUUAGAAUGGGUGACUUCUUUUUGCAAAUUUUCUAGAAAAAGUAUUAAAUAAUAGCUAGUUUAAAUCCCAUCCACAAAAUAUGGAAUAUAAUUUCUAUUUCUCCCUUUUGUUGAGAAAGUGAAAGGGAAUGAAAAGACAUUAAAAAAAAAAAACCACACUCUAGGAAAAAUGUAUUAUUCAUCAUUUAAUGCUAAAAUGACAGCAGCAUAUGUAUUAUAUCAUAGCUUAGACACUUUAUUUUUAUUCCACUCACUUCAUUUUACUAUAAACUUUUACAUCUAAAAAAAAACUUUAUACCAUCAAACUAAAUCAUUAAAGACGCUCUCCCAACUGAGCUAUCCCCGCUGUUUGGUUAUAAAAUUUGUAUAUUUGAAUAUAUACAUACAUACAUAUGCCUAUUCUAAUUUAAUGCCUACCCUAACUAGACCAUAAACAUUGUUUAGUUACGAAGUUGUAAAGUUCUGUGUUAAUAUACGUAUACAUAUAAAUAUGUAUGAUGAUAUAUUCAUUGAGACAAUGAGUAUACACAAAAUCUUUUAACACCUACCAACGAUAAUCUCAUACUAUAAAAAUCGUUACCAAACAUAACCUUAUUGAACUUUUGCGGUAUAAAUAAAAGUCAACGUUUUGUACUACUUUUGCCUAAUAGAUGAGGUGAGAAGGAUACAAAGUUUGAUAUCAAUACAGAUAUAUGUGUGUGUGUGUGUUUUAUUUUACAUUUUCCCUUUUUGUCUUCUUCAUUGAAAAUUUCUGCUUCACAAGAAAUUGUGUUCCAUUACUGUGGGGGACCAAACUUUCCAUUGCUUAACAUCAUUUUGCCCGUCAUUGUAUGCAUAGCAAAGCACAUCAGUGAUGCUGCAAUUCUUUUGUCAUCCAAAUGCAAGUUGGAGGUCUCAGUUUCAGUGUGAUAGGAUUACCCUCAAAUGUUUUUGUCUAAGAAAAGUUGCAACAAACUAAAGGAAAAGAGAGACGCUCACUUAGAAGAAAGAAACUUUUAUUAAGGAAGUAUAAAUAUGGACACUUAUGAGAUAAUGUUUUUACACUCCCCUCAAUGCUCACCCACACACUUUUACUCUGUCUUUCUUUGUUUCUCGUACUUUUCGUACAUGUGAAGACACUCUUCUUAUUUAUAAGUAUGAAUAGAUCCUUGUUUAGAAGUUUCUAGAAUAGUUAGCGUUGUCUUGAAUUAUUUGGAUCUAAAAUAUCCUCACACAGUUUGAUUAGAUAAGCUGCAAUUGGGGCAUCGUGUUGAAUAAGUUUCUUUCUGCUUGAGUCAUUAUUUUAAAAAAAACAGACAAAUAAUAUCUUGGAAAGUUAGAAACAGUUGAAAAUUAGCAAAAAGCUCUUUGAGACUUGGGAUACUUAAACAUAGUUACUUUAUUAAUAUCACACAUGAACAAGAUAUAUCAAGUCGAUUAUAGAUGUUGAUACACAAAUCUUAAUACAUAACGUGGUAUUUCUAACAAAAAGGGCUAUUUCUUACAUCUCUCGGUUGUACUUAACUAUCCAACUCCAAACAUGUUCAUUGGAACCAUUAAAACUACAAAAUCAAGUUCCUCCUAUGUUGAGUUGUGAUUUUCAUACAGAGGGGGAGCCUGAGAUCAGUGGAGUUGAUCAUUUGACGGUUGGAGGUUCAUGUCUUCGCCUUCGGAGGUUUUUGUUCCAACAGAUGCUUCUAAAUCCUUGUUAUCUGAGCUUGAAAACUUCAAGAAGUUUUCGAUAUCUUGGGAUUCUGAACUUCCAUUUCUUAGUUGUUGAAACCAGUUCAUAUGUGGUUUCGGCUUCCUGUCACUAAUGGCUAUAGCAAUGUCAUUAGGAAAGAGGUCACGAAGCACGAAGGCGUGGAUGAUAGUCGUUACAAGGAGAGAUGCUACUAUGAUUAUAGCAGUGACAGAGAGUAGAACAGACAGAACUUGUGUAAAUGUAUUUGUAACUUCAGUUGAGUAUCUUAUAGUUGCAAUGGCAGCACCAGUCAUUGGAAAAGUAUAUGCCCACCACGCGAGUGAGAACCUAAUAAUUCGAAACAAAAUGAUUGUGAGAUAACUAACUCGAAAAGAAUGAUAGAAGUUUCAAAACAAGAAAGACAGGUGCCGUAUCAUACUUGAAGCCCCGGAAAAAGUUGACUCUGACAACCUGCAAAGAAGAAUCAGAAGAGAGAAUUGCGAGUUUUGUCAGAUUCAUAAAGACAACAACAAAAGUAAUCAAGGCGAUGAGAGCUACAUAGAGACUAACCAGUGAGAAAUAGAGGAACAUAGCAAUAAAGUACAUCAUUCGUGAAGCAUUGUCAAAGGAGCCUUGAAUUUUUCCCCAUGCCAUAGAUGCAACACUUGGUGCUGCUAUGAAAAGAAAGAAUACCGGAUGCAGCUCCUUUGGGAGUGUCUCAUUGGUUGGCAGUCUCUGAUAGAGAGUUACAAAAAGGACUAAAUAGUGAGCUAUUCCGAUUGCGAAGAAGAAUAUGGGCCCUUCCUUUAAUCCCAUUGAAGCUCCCAACAAAGCCCCCACAAA